rnacentral:lncRNA from 1 species
CACUGAGGUUCAAACGAUAAGAUCUUCGUAGAAUAUGUGGGAUCCAAUAUGGGCAUCCAGGUCCCGCUAUUGGAUAUUGACCGAGGAGUCACUCGGGUCAUAUCUACAUAGUUCACGAACCCGCAGGGUCUGCACACUUAAGGUUCGACGUUGUUUUAUGCGUAUUUGAGUUAUAUGGUUGGUUACCGAAUGUUGUUCGGAGUCCCGGAUGUGAUCACGGAUGUCACGAGGGUUUCCGGAAUGGUUCGGAAACGAAGAUUGAUAUAUAGGAUGACCUCAUUUGAUUACCGGAAGGUUUUCGGAGUUANNNNNNNNNNNNNNNNNNNNNNNNNNNNNNNNNNNNNNNNNNNNNNNNNNNNNNNNNNNNNNNNNNNNNNNNNNNNNNNNNNNNNNNNNNNNNNNNNNNNAUCAUCCUCUUGACUUAAGCUUUGAAAAAAAAGCAUAUGUGAAAUCAAAACAAAUGAUAAAUAUUUUCAAUAGGUGUCAGAAAGAAAGGCUUAAAAACCCUCGAGGCUAUGCCACGAAGAAAAAAUAGCAACAGCAAUUUCGUCGGCUCAUAAGGUCGUGACAGGAUGAGGCGAGUCAGAAAGCUCAUGCACCCACCUUAAAUGCAGGUUUCGUCGGCUCAUAAGGUCGCGACAGGAUGAGGCGAGUUAGAAAGCUCGUGCACACACCCUAAAUGCAGGUUUCGUCGGCUCAUAAGGUCGCGACAGGAUGAGGCGAGUCAGAAAGCUCAAGCACACACCCUAAAUGCAGGUUUCGUCGGCUCAUAAGGCCACGACAGGAUGAGGCGAGUCAGAAAGCUCAAGCACACACCCUAAAUGCAGGUUUCGUCGGCUCAUAAGGUCGCGACAGGAUGAGGCGAGUCAGAAAGCUCAAGCACACACCCUAAAUGCAGGUUUCGUCGGCUCAUAAGGUCGCGACAGGAUGAGGCGAGUCAGAAAGCUCAAGCACACACCCUAAAUGCAGGUUUCGUCGGCUCAUAAGGUCGCGACAGGAUGAGGCGAGUCAGAAAGCUCAAGCACACACCCUAAAUGCAGGUUUCGUCGGCUCAUAAGGUCGCGACAGGAUGAGGCGAGUCAGAAAGCUCAAGCACACACCCUAAAUGCAGGUUUCGUCGGCUCAUAAGGUCGCGACAGGAUGAGGCGAGUCAGAAAGCUCAAGCACACACCCUAAAUGCAGGUUUCGUCGGCUCAUAAGGUCGCGACAGGAUGAGGCGAGUCAGAAAGCUCAAGCACACACCCUAAAUGCAGGUUUCGUCGGCUCAUAAGGUCGCGACAGGAUGAGGCGAGUUAGAAAGCUCAAGCACACACCCUAAAUGCAGGUUUCGUCGGCUCAUAAGGUCGCGACAGGAUGAGGCGAGUCAGAAAGCUCAAGCACACACCCUAAAUGCAGGUUUCGUCGGCUCAUAAGGUCGCGACAGGAUGAGGCGAGUCAGAAAGCUCAAGCACACACCCUAAAUGCAGGUUUCGUCGGCUCAUAAGGUCGCGACAGGAUGAGGCGAGUCAGAAAGCUCAAGCACACACCCUAAAUGCAGGUUUCGUCGGCUCAUAAGGUCGCGACAGGAUGAGGCGAGUCAGAAAGCUCAAGCACACACCCUAAAUGCAGGUUUCGUCGGCUCAUAAGGUCGCGACAGGAUGAGGCGAGUCAGAAAGCUCAAGCACACACCCUAAAUGCAGGUUUCGUCGGCUCAUAAGGUCGCGACAGGAUGAGGCGAGUCAGAAAGCUCAAGCACACACCCUAAAUGCAGGNNNNNNNNNNNNNNNNNNNNNNNNNNNNNNNNNNNNNNNNNNNNNNNNNNNNNNNNNNNNNNNNNNNNNNNNNNNNNNNNNNNNNNNNNNNNNNNNNNNNCCGUUGUGGUGUUUGCGUAAGUAAGAUGCGAUCCUACUAGAUACCCAUGGUCACCACGUAAAACAUGCAACAACAAAAUUAGAGGACGUCUAACUUGUUUUUGCAGGGUAUGCUUGUGAUGUGAUAUGGCCAACGAUGUGAUGUGAUAUACUGGAUGUAUGAGAUGAUCAUGUUUUAAUAGAUAAUAUCGACUUGCACGUCGAUGGUACGGCAACCGGCAGGAGCCAUAGGGUUGUCUUUAUAACUAACGUUUGUGCUUGCAGAUGCGUUUACUAUUUUGCUAGGAAGUAGCUUUAGUAGUAAUAGCAUCAGUAGCAAGACAACCCCGAUGGCCACACGUUGAUGGAGAUCAUGAUGAUGGAGAUCAUGGUGUGCCGCCGGUGACAAGAAGAUCGUGCCGGUGCUUUGGUGAUGGAGAUCAAGAAGCACGUGAUGAUGGCCAUAUCAUGUCACUAAUAAAUUGCAUGUGAUGUUAAUCCUUUUAUGCACCUUAUUUUGCUUAGAACGAUGGUAGCAUUAUGAGGUGAUCUCUCACUAAAAUUUCAAGAAGAAAUUGUGUUCUCCCUGACUGUGCACCGUUGCUACAGUUCGUCGUUUCGAGACACCACGUGAUGNNNNNNNNNNNNNNNNNNNNNNNNNNNNNNNNNNNNNNNNNNNNNNNNNNNNNNNNNNNNNNNNNNNNNNNNNNNNNNNNNNNNNNNNNNNNNNNNNNNNUGCAUGUUUUACGUGGUGACCAUGGGUAUCUAGUAGGAUCGCAUCUUACUUACGCAAACACCACAACGGAGAUAUAUGAGUUGCUAUUUAACCUCAUCCAAGGACCUCCUCGGUCAAAUCCGAUUCAACUAAAGUUGGAGAAACAGUCACUUGCCAGUCAUCUUUGAGCAAAGGGGGUUACUCGUAACGAUGAAACCAGUCUCUCGUAAGCGUACGAGUAAUGUCGGUCCAAGCCGCUUCAAUCCAACAAUACCGCGGAAUCAAGAAAAGACUAAGGAGGGCAGCAAAACGCACAUCACCGCCCACAAAACCUUUUGUGUUCUACUCGAGAAGACAUCUACGCAUGAACCUAGCUCAUGAUGCCACUGUUGGGGAACGUCGCAUGGGAAACAAAAAUNUUUCCUACGCGCACGAAGACCUAUCAUGGUGAUGUCCAUCUACGAGAGGGGAUGAGUGAUCUACGUACCCUUGUAGAUCGUACAGCAGAAGCGUUAGUGAACGCGGUUGAUGUAGUGGAACGUCCUCACGUCCCUCGAUCCGCCCCGCGANNNNNNNNNNNNNNNNNNNNNNNNNNNNNNNNNNNNNNNNNNNNNNNNNNNNNNNNNNNNNNNNNNNNNNNNNNNNNNNNNNNNNNNNNNNNNNNNNNNNUGUAGAGCAUCUUUAUAGUCACCCAGUUACGUUGCGACGUUUGAUACACACAAAGCAUUCCUCCGGUGUCCGUGAGUUAUAUGAUCUCAUGGUCAUAGGAACAAAUACUUGACACGCAGAAAACAGUAGCAACAAAAUGACACGAUCAACAUGCUACGUCUAUCAGUUUGGGUCUAGUCCAUCACAUGAUUCUCCUAAUGAUGUGAUCCCGUUAUCAAGUGACAACACUUGCCUAUGGCCAGGAAACCUUGACCAUCUUUGAUCAACGAGCUAGUCAACUAGAGGCUUACUAGGGACAGUGUUUUGUCUAUGUAUCCACACAAGUAUUGUGUUUCCAAUCAAUACAAUUAUAGCAUGGAUAAUAAAUGAUUAUCAUGAACUAAGAAAUAUAAUAAUAACUAAUUUAUUAUUGCCUCUAGGGCAUAUUUCCAACAGUCUCCCACUUGCACUAGAGUCAAUAAUCUAGUUCACAUCACCAUGUGAUUCCAACGAAUCCAACACCCAUAUAGUUAUGGGGUCUGAUCACGUCUUGCUCGUGAGAGAGGUUUUAGUCAACGGUUCUGAAACUUUCAGAUUCGUGUGUUCUUUCCAAAUCUUUAUGUCAUCUUAUAGAUGCUGCUACUACGUGCUAUUCGGAAAUGCUCCAAAUAUCUACUCUACUAUACGAAUCCGUUUCACUACUCAUAGUUAUCCGGAUUAGUAUCAAAGCUUGCAUUGACGUAACCCUUUACGACAAACUCUUUAACCACCUCCAUAAUCGAGAAAAAUUCCUUAGUCCAUUAGUUACUAAGGAUAAAUUUCGACCGCUGCUAGUGAUUCAAUCAUGGAUCACUCUCUGUACCUCUCAACAUACUUUGAGUCAAGGCACACUUCAGGUGCGGUACACAGCAUGACAUACUUUAGAUUCUACGGCUAAGGCAUAGAAGACGACCUUCGUCUAUUCUCUUUAUUCUGCCGUGGUCGGGUUUUGAGUCUUACUCAAAUUCACACCUCACAACGCAACCAAGAACUCCUUCUUUGCUGGUCUAUUUUGAACUCUUUCAAAAACUUGUCAAGGCAUGCAUCUUGUUGAAACUUCUAUUAAGCGCUUUCGAUCUAUCUCCAUAGAUCUUUGAUGCUCAACGUUCAAGUAGCGUAAUCCAGGUACUCCUUUGAAAACUUCUUUCAAACAACCUUGUAUGCUUUACAGAAAUUCUACAUUACUUCUGAUCCACAAUAUGUCAACCACAUAUACCUAUCAGAAAUUCUAUAGUGCUCCCACUCACUUCUUUGGAAAUACAAGUUUCUCAUAAACCUUGUACACACCCAAAAUCUUUGAUCAUCUCAUCAAAGUGCUUAUUCCAACUCCGAGAUGCUUGCACCAGUCCAUUGAAGGAUCACUGGAGCUUGCAUACUUGCUAGUAUCUUUAGGAUCGACAAAACCUUCUGGUUGUAUCACAUACAAUGUUUGCUCAAGGAAACCGUCGAGGAAACAAUGUUUUGACAUCCUACGUGCAAUAUUUCAUAAAUAAUGCAGCAACUACUAACAUAAUUCUAACAGACCUUUAGCAUCGCUACGAGUGAGAAAGACUCAUCAUAGUCAACUGUUUGAUCUUGUCGAAAACAUCUUUGCGACAAGUCGAGCUUUUCUUAAUAGUGACUUAUCACCAUCAUCGUCUGUCUUCUUUUAAAGAUCCAUUUUACCCAAUAGUCCCAUGACCAUCAAGUAGUUCUACCAAAGUCUACACUUUGUUUUCACACAUGGAUCCUCUCUCGAAUUUUAUGGCUUCCAGCCAUUUGUCGGAAUCUGGGCCCACCAUCGCUUUCUCCAUAACUCGUAGGUUCACUGUUGCUCAACAACAUGACCUCCAAGACAGGGUUACCGUACUACUCUGCAGCAGUACGCGACCUUGUCGACCUACGAGGUUUGUAGUAACUUGAUUCGAAGCUUAAUGAUCACCAUCAUCAGCUUCCACUUCAAUUGGUGUAGGCGCCACAGGAACAACUUCCUAUGCCCUGCUACACACUGGUUGAAGUGAUGGUUCAAUAACCUCAUCAAGUUCUACUACCCUCCCACUCAAUUCUUUCGAGAGAAACCUUUUCUCGAGAAAGGAUCCGUUUCUAGAAACAAACACUUUGCUUUUGGAUCUGAGAUAGGAGAUGUACCCAACUGUUUUGGAUAUCCUGUGAAGAUGCAUUUAUCCGCUUUGGGUUCGAGCUUAUCAGACUGAAACUUUUUCACAUAAGUUUCGAAGCCCCAAACUUUCAAGAAACGACAGUUUAGAUUUCUCUAAACCUCAGUCUAUACUGUGUCAUGUCAACGGAAAUACGCGGUGCCCCAUUUAAAGUGAAUGUGGUUGUCUCCAAUGCAUAACCCAUAAACGAUAGUGGUAAUUCGAUAAGAGACAUCCCAGCAUGCACCAUACUAAAUAGUGCGUGGCUAUGACGUUCAGACACAUCAUCACACCAUGAUGUUCCAGGUGGCAUGAACUGUGAAACAAUUUCCACAUUGUCUUAACUGUGUACCAAAAAUUCGUAACUCAGAUAUUCAUUUCUAUGAUCAUAUCGUAGACAGUUCAUCCUCUUGUUACGACGAACUUCACUCUGAAACAGAAUUGAACUUUUCAAUAUUUCAGACUUGUGAUUCAUUAAGUAAAUACUCCUGUAUCUACUCAAGUCGUCAGUGAAGUAAGAACAUAAUGAUAUCCACUGCGUGCCUCAACACUCACUGGACUGCAUACAUCAAAAUGUAUCACUUCCAACAAGUUACUAUCUUGUUUCAUCUCAAUGAAAACAAGGCCUUGCUCAUGUGGUAUGAUUUGCAUGUCACUAGUGAUUCGAAAUCAGGUGAGUAAAGAUCCAUCAGCAUGGAGCCUCUUCAUGCAAUUUAUACUAACAUGACUCAAGCGGCAGUGCCACAAGUAAGUGGUACUAUCAUCAUUUAACUCGUAUCUUUUGGCACCAAUGUGUAACACUACAAUCGAGAUUCAAUAAACCAUUGAAGGUGAUUAUUCAAGCAAAUAGAGUAACCAUUAUUCCUUUUGAAUGAAUAAUCGUAUUGCAAUAAACACGAUCCAAUCAUGUUCAUGCUUAACGCAAGCACCAAAUAACAAUUAUUUAGGUUCAACACCAAUCCCGAUGGUAAAGGGGGCGUGUGACGUUUGAUCAUAUCAACCUUGGAAACACUUCCAACACGUAUCGUCACCUCGCCUUUAGCUAGUCUCCGUUUAUGCCGUAGCUUUCAUUUCGCGUUACUAAUCACUUAGAAACCGAACCAGUAUCCAAUACCCUCGUGCUACUAGGAGUACUAGUAAAGUACACAUCAACAUUAUGUAUAUCAAAUAUACUUCUCUCGACUUUUGCCAGCCUUCUUAUCUACCAAGUAUCUAGAGUUUCUCCGCCUCAGUGACUGUUCCCCUUAUUACGGAAGCACUUAGUCUCGGGUUUGGGUUUAAUCUUGGGUCUCUUCAUUAGUGCAGCAACUGUUUUGCCGUUUCACGAAGUAUCCCUUCUAGCCCUCGCCUUUCUUGAAACUUAGUGGGGGGGGGACUAUUGAUGCUCCUUCUUGAUUUCUACUUUCGCAGUGUCAAACGUCGCGAAUCUCUCAAAGAUCAUUGUAUCUAUCCUUGAUAUGUUAUAGUUCAUCACGAAGCUCUCAAAGCUUGGUGGCAGUGACUUUUGGAGAACCAUCACUAUCUCAUCUGGAAGAUUAGCUCCCACUUGAUUCAAGUGAUUGUCGUACUCAGACAAUCUGAGCACACGCUCAACGAUUGAGCUUUUCUCCUUUACUUUGUGGUCAAAGAAUUUUGUUGGAGGUCUCGUACCUCUUAACAAGGGCACAAGCAUGAAAUCACAAUUUCAUCUCUUUAGAACAUCACUUAUGUUCCGUGACGUUUUAUAACGUUUUCGGAGCCUUGCUUCUAAGCCAUUAAGUAUAUUUGAACUGAACUAUCGUGUAGUCAUCAGAAACGUGUAUGUCGGAUGUUCACAGCAUCCACAGACGACGCUCGAGGUGCAGCACACCGAGUGGUGCAUUAAGGACAUAAGCCUUCUACGCAGCAACGAGGACAAUCCUCGGUUUUACAGACUCAGUCUGCAAAGUUUGCUACUAUCAAUUUUCAACUAAAUUUUCUCUAGGAACAUAAAAAAACAGUAGAGCUAUAGCGCAAGCUACAUCGUAAUUCGCAAAGACCAUUAGACUAUGUUCAUGAAAAUUAGUUCAAUUAAUCAUAUUACUUAAGAACUCCCACUCAAAAAGUACAUCUCUCUAGUCAUUUGAGUGGUACAUGAUCCAAAUCCACUAUCUCAAGUCCGAUCAUCAAGUGAGUCGAGAAUAGUUUCAGUGGUAAGCAUCACUAUGCUAAUCAUAUCAACUAUACGAUUCAUGCUCGACCUUUCGGUCUCAUGUGUUCCGAGGCCAUGUCUGCACAUGCUAGGCUCGUCAAGCUUAACCCGAGUGUUCUGCGUGUGCAACUGUUUUGCACCCGUUGUAUGUGAACGUUGAGUCUAUCACACCCGAUCAUCACGUGGUGUCUCGAAACGAAGAACUGUCGCAACGGUGCACAGUCGGGGAGAACACAACUUCGUCUUGAAAUUUUAGUGAGAGAUCACCUCAUAAUGCUACCGUCGUUCUAAGCAAAAUAAGGUGCAUAAAAGGAUUAACAUCACAUGCAAUUCAUAAGUGACAUGAUAUGGCCAUCAUCACGUGCUUCUUGAUCUCCAUCACCAAAGCACCGGCACGAUCUUCUUGUCACCGGCGCCACACCAUGAUCAUCCAUCAACGUGUUGCCAUCGGGGUUGUCGUGCUACUUAUGCUAUUACUACUAAAGCUACAUCCUAGCAAAAUAGUAAACGCAUCUGCAAGCACAAACGUUAGUUAUAAAGACAACCCUAUGGCUCCUGCCGGUUGCCGUACCAUCGACGUGCAAGUCGAUAUUUCUAUUACAACAUGAUCAUCUCAUACAUCCAAUAUAUCACAUCACAUCGUUGGCCAUAUCACAUCACAAUCAUACCCUGCAAAAACAAGUUAGACGUCCUCUAAUUUUGUUGUUUGCAUGUUUUACGUGGUGACCAUGGGUAUCUAGUAGGAUCGCAUCUUACUUACGCAAACACCACAACGGNNNNNNNNNNNNNNNNNNNNNNNNNNNNNNNNNNNNNNNNNNNNNNNNNNNNNNNNNNNNNNNNNNNNNNNNNNNNNNNNNNNNNNNNNNNNNNNNNNNNAUCAUCCUCUUGACUUAAGCUUUGAAAAAAAAGCAUAUGUGAAAUCAAAACAAAUGAUAAAUAUUUUCAAUAGGUGUCAGAAAGAAAGGCUUAAAAACCCUCGAGGCUAUGCCACGAAGAAAAAAUAGCAACAGCAAUUUCGUCGGCUCAUAAGGUCGUGACAGGAUGAGGCGAGUCAGAAAGCUCAUGCACCCACCUUAAAUGCAGGUUUCGUCGGCUCAUAAGGUCGCGACAGGAUGAGGCGAGUUAGAAAGCUCGUGCACACACCCUAAAUGCAGGUUUCGUCGGCUCAUAAGGUCGCGACAGGAUGAGGCGAGUCAGAAAGCUCAAGCACACACCCUAAAUGCAGGUUUCGUCGGCUCAUAAGGUCGCGACAGGAUGAGGCGAGUUAGAAAGCUCAAGCACACACCCUAAAUGCAGGUUUCGUCGGCUCAUAAGGUCGCGACAGGAUGUGGCGAGUCAGAAAGCUCAAGCACACUCCCUAAAUGCAGGUUUCGUCGGCUCAUAAGGUCACAACAGGAUGACACAAUUGCUCUGUAAUGAAGAAGCCCCAAGCCAGGGAGUAUUUGUAACUUUAUUACUUCAUAAUGAAAUUGAAAAACUUACAAAGUGUAGACCUUAAGAGCUCAAGUGUAAUAAUGCCGCAGAUGGGCAAUAUUCCAGGGGCGAGUUGACUCAGCCUCCGUGGUUGGCCGAUUAGGCCGGAGAUCCACCAAAUAAUAAGAGCCAUUAUGGAGAUUCUUGCUGACGAUGAACGGCCCUUCCCAAGGUGGUGACAACUUGUGCAUGCCGACUCGAUCUUGUAUCAACCGAAGAACCAAGUCGCCUUCCUGAAAAGUCCGACUCUUAACCCGGUAACUAUGGUAACGCCGCAGAUCCUGCUGGUAGAUAGCCGAACGAGCCGCAACCAGGUCACGUGCCUCCUCUAAGGCGUCCAAAGAGUCUUGACGCGCCAGCUCAUUGUCCUGUUCCACAUAUGCGGCGACUCUAAGUGAGUCAUGCCUUAUGUCAGUAGGGAGAACAGCCUCUGCUCCGUAGACCAGAAAGAAAGGGGUGAAACCCGUGGAUCGGUUCGGGGUGGUCCGAAUACUCCACAACACCGAAGGUAAUUCUUCAACCCAACAUCCUGGGGGUUUUUCCAGGGGAACCAUGAGUCGGGGCUUAAUCCCCCGCAAAACCUCCUGAUUCGCCCUCUCUGCCUGCCCAUUAGAUUGUGGGUGAGUGACUGCAGAAACAUCAAGUCGGAUAUGUUCUCGACGACAAAACUCCUGCAUCGCCCCUUGGGACAAGUUAGUACCAUUAUCAGUAAUGAUACUAAGCGGACAUCCAAACCGGAAAAUCAGCCUUUUCAAGAAUUUGACCGCCGUUUCCGCAUCGCAAGCUCCAACAGGUUCCGCCUCAACCCACUUGGUGAACUUGUCAACCGCCACCAACAAGUGGGUCUUCUUGUUAGAGGACAUUUUAAAGGGGCCGACCAUGUCCAGCCCCCAGACUGCAAAAGGCCAAGUAAUGGGAAUCAUUCUUAAUUCUUGAGCCGGCACAUGAACCUGCCUCCCAUAACGCUGGCACCCUUCGCACCGACGAACUAUAUCCUCUGCAUCUGCUUGAGCCGUCCGCCAAAAGAAACCAUGACGGAAAGCCUUCGAUACCAAAGAACGUGACCCGGCAUGAUGCCCACAAUCUCCGGAAUGAAUGUCAUUUAAGAUUAUGCAUCCUUCUUUAGAGGAAACACAUCGUUGAAAGACUCCAGAGGUGCUCCGUUUAUAUAACUCGCCAUUGAUGAUGACCAUGGAUUUGCUGCGCCGGACGAUUUGGUGAGCCAAAACUUUGUCGGCCGGUAACUCGCCCCGAGCGAGAUAAGCCAGGUAAGGGAGAACCCAAUCCGGAGUGACAUGGAGGGCCGCCACGAGCUGAGACUCAUGAUCUGGUAUCGCCAAUUCCUCCUCUGAUGGUAAAAUCACAGAUGGUUUAUGUAAAAUAUCCAGAAAAACAUUAGGAGGGACCGACUUUCUCUGGGAGCCAAGUCGUGAGAGGGCGUCAGCUGCCUCAUUGAGGCGCCGAUCAAUAUGGUCCACCUGGUAGCCAUGAAAAUGACCCGCCACAUCAGACACAGCCCGCCUGUAGGCCGCCAUCGUAGGGUCCCGAGAAUCCCAGGUACCCGAAACUUGCUGUGCCACCAAAUCAGAGUCGCCAAAACAUCUGACCCGUGUUAGAUUCAUCUCCUUGGCGAGUCGCAAGCCGUGAAGCAGGGCUUCGUAUUCCGCUGCAUUGUUAGUGCGUGGAAACACGAGUCGGAGAACGUAACAGCACUUAUCUCCUUGAGGGGAUACCAACACCACACCAGCCCCCGAGCCUUCCAGCAGCCUAGACCCAUCAAAAUAAAUAGUCCAGUAAGUGAGAUCGGGCCGGUCCUCCGGAGCCUGUAACUCCGUCCAGUCGUUGACGAAAUCAACCAAUGCUUCGGACUUGAUGGCAGUGCGGGGAGCAUACUGUAUGUGAUGGGGCCCAAGUUCUAUCGCCCACUUGGCGAUUCGCCCUGUUGCCUCCCGAUUCUGGAUGAUGUCCCCAAGGGGGCAGAGCUUAUCACUGUGAUAGGGUGUUCUUGGAAAUAAUGCUUAAGUUUUCGGCUCACCAUAAACACCCCAUACACCAAUUUCUGCCAGUGUGGGUACCGCUGCUUGGAAAGAGUUAGCAUCUCACUGAUAAAAUAUACCGGGCGUUGCACUGGGUAUUCCUUCCCUUCCUCUUUUCUCUCAACGACCACUGCCACACUUACUGCUUUGGAAUUUGCCGGGACAUACAGAAGCAUGGGCUCUUUUUCAGUCGGGGUGGCCAGAACUGGCGGGUUGACUAAUUGGCGCUUCAGGGCUUCGAGCGCCUCGUCUGCCUUGUUUGUCCAAACAAAUCGAUCGGAUCUCCUCAACAACUGAUAAAGCGGGAUCGCCUUCUCCCCCAGGCGACUCACGAAACGACUUAGGGCCGCAAUGCGACCCGCCAGUCGCUGAACUUGAUUAACGUUCGCCGGCUUUCCAAGGGACGUAAGUGCUUCGAUCUUGUCCGGAUUAGCUUCAAUGCCGCGCUCCGAUACCAGGAAACCCAGCAAUUUCCCUGCAGGCACACCAAAAACACAUUUGGUGGGAUUUAGCUUCAUCUGAUACACCCGUAGAUUGUCGAAUGUUUCUUUGAGGUCCUCCAGUAGUGUCUCCCCCUGGCGGGUCUUGAUCACAAUAUCGUCGACAUAAGCAUGGACGUUGCGACCAAUUUGGUUACGAAGACAAUUCUGUAUGCAGCGUUCAUAAGUCGCCCCCGCACUCUUGAGUCCAAAGGGCAUGGACACAUAACAAAAGGCCCCGAAGGGGGUUAUGAAGGCAGUUUUCUCUUGAUCUUCCACGACCAUCUUGAUUUGGUGAUAUCCCGAAUAGGCAUCCAGAAAGCACAAUCGUUCGCAUCCCGCCACCGAGUCAAUGAUUUGGUCGAUGCAGGGAAGAGCGAAGGGAUCUUUUGGACAAGCUCUGUUGAGGUCCGUGUAGUCAAUACACAUAUGAAAAGUACCAUUUUUCUUGAGUACCAAAACCGGGUUAGCCAGCCAUUUGGGGUGAAAAACUUCCAUGAUGAACUCGACGGCUAAAAGAUGGGGGACUUCUUCCCCAAUCGCCUUGCGUCACUCCUCGUUAAAUCUGCGAAGGUAUUGCUGGAUAGGUUUGCACUUUGGGUCAAUAUUAAGAUGGUGCUCAGCGAAUUCUCUCCGCACACCAGGUAUGUCAAAAGGUUUCCAUGCAAAGAUGUCCCGAUUCUCACGGAUGAAUUCGAUGAGCACGCUUUCCUAUUUGGGGUCCAGACCCGUCGCAAUGGUGAAUUGCUUGGAUGAAUCGCCAGGCACGAAAUCGAUUGUCUUAGUGUCAUCCGUUGGUUUGAACUUGAGAGGCGACUCAGAGUCUGUAGUUGGCUUCUUCAGGGGUGACAUGUCUGUCGGGUCAACAUUGGCCCGAUGGUGUUUGAGCUCUUCCGCAGCACAGGCGACUUCCGCAUAAGCCGCAUCCCCUUCUUCACAUUCCUUUGCGAUCCUUCUAUCUCCAUCAACUGUGAUGGGUCCUUUGGGACCAGGCAUUUUUAGCUUGAGGUAGACAUAGCACGGGCGAGCCAUGAUGCGGGCGUAAGCCGGUCGCCCAAACAGCGCAUGGCAGGGGCUUUUCAAUUUGAUCACUUCGAAGAUUAGAGACUCCGACCUAUAAUUCUAUGCAGUUCCAAAUGCCACUGUGAGCCUGACCCGGCCUAUGGGAUAAGCCGUCUUGCCCGGGACAAUUCCGUGGAAAACUGUGGUUGAAGGCAUCAAGUCUUUCUCCAAUAGAUUCAUCCUUUGGAAGGUGUCGAAGUAUAGGAUAUUGAUGCUGCUGCCACCAUCCAUUAGUACCUUUGAUAGGGUGUAACCCCCCACUUGGGGAGCCACGACCAACGCCAGAUCGCCCAGGUUAUCUACUCUCGGCGGGUGAUCCUCCCUGCUCCAUGUUAUGGUCUGCUCAGACCAAUGGAGGUAUCUGGGAAUCGCCGGUUCAGAUACACUGUACGCUCGGUGACUCACCUUCUUAUCAAGCAUGCAAGCAUUAGUGGUAAAAACGUGGUACUGCCCGUUACUUAACUGUUUGGGAUUGCUACGGAAGCCCCCAUUAUUGUCCUGACCCUCCGGAGCCCCCUGUGGGGGUGGCUGCUGGAAGACCCCUGGCGGGUUGUACCGCCGCUGGUGGUGUACCGGGUAUUGGCCGCUGCCUGGCUGCGGGCCUCCCUGAGCCCCCUGCUCAGGGAAUCCGCCGAAGGGGUUCUGUCUUCGUUUUGACUCUUCUAGAUUGCCUCCGCCCGAAACUCUCGCAUCACGAAGCAGUUUUCCCAAGAGUGGCUCGCCGGGCCAUCGGUCGUCGCGUGGUGUGGGCAAGGGCCCUUGAGUAGCUCUUCAUAGUUACGCGGCCUCUUCCCACUGAAACCUUGAUUCUUCUUCUUGCCGUUAUUAGCGUUGGUAUUGGCGACUAAGUCCGAGGGAUCCUCCUGUGGUCUCCGCUUGUCAUUGGUCCCUUGAUUGUGACGGUUACGCCCCUGGAACCGGGUAUGAUUUUUGGAUGACUCGCGCUUCUUAGGCGAAUUAGCCUUGCCAUCCUCGCCGGGAUCUUUGGUAUCAUCGGCCUCGGCAUAUCUAGUGAGGGUGUCCAUCACCUCGCCCAUGUCUUGGACCUUUCGUUUGAGCCGCCCUAAUUUCUGUACCAAGGGUUCGUAAUGACAACUGUGCUCGAGGAUGAGCACAGCUUGAGCCGCCGUAAUACCAUCUGACGAAUGAAUAAUUUCUGCAACCCGCCGUGACCAAUGGUGGGCCGACUCAUCUGGGCGCUGAACACAGUGCUGUAGAUCGACGAUCGUCAUCGAAUGUUUGCAGGUUCCUCGGAAGUUUUUGAUGAAACGUUCCUUUAACUCGGCCUAGGACUGGAUGGAAUUGGGAGGCAAGUAUUUCAACCAAGUGCGUGCCGACCCCUCGAGCAUCAUUGUGAAGUAUCUGGCGCAAACCGCCUCGUUUACGUCGAGCAUGUCCAUGGCGAUUUCAUAACUUUCGAUCCAUGAUGCCGGCUCGAGGUCCGGGGUAUAAUUAGGCACUUUCCUUGGCCCUUUGAAGUCUUUGGGCAUCCUUUCGUUACGAAGGGCGGGGGAUAAACAUGGUACCCCAACUUGCCCUCCGCCCCCAACGAGGGGGGCCGGGGCAUCUUGGAUGUUCGGGAGGUCCCGGCCCGGCGGGUUCUGUUCAGGCGGGUUGUCCUGUGGGAUGUGUCGCGGCCCGCUGUUUACGGCGGGUUGGUCCUCUGGCCUGCUCCUGGUAUAACUUGCCUGAGGGGUAGAAUGCAACCUCUCGAGGCUAUGUGAGACUGGGCGUUUUGAACCACCGCCGUCUUCAACAUCUCGAUGGCAUUCCUUGCUUCUAUUUCGGUAGGAGUGUUCCCAUGAAUCGGGGGGGACUCCGGAUGGUGGGUUGCGGCAAGCACGUUAUCCACCGAGUUGGAAAAGUGGCCUUGAGGCGUCCGGAACCGGGGAAUGUGAUCCUCAACCGGUUGAGCCGGCGGGUUAGGUGGGCGACCCGGCCCUCCUGCCGGGACGGCUCCCGUCCCAGGGGUUCGUGCAGUAUCGAAGAGGCGAGUCGGAUUGAGGUCAUGGGGCAGGCGACCCUGGUGUCUCCUCUGAUGGACGGCGUCGGACGGGCGCUGCUGUCUCUCGAGCCGCCAGUUGUUAGUGUUUAAACGCAUCCUUUCGGCCGUGAUUUGGGCUUGCCGAGUCUCAAUCCUGGCGGACUCCAUCUCGGCGUCCCGAUGAGCCUUUGCCACCGCCUCUCUGAGUUUUGCCAGCUCCGUGUUUAUCUCUUCUUGGUUCUCUGGUGUGAGGGGAGUCGCCGUUAGCCUUGUGAUCUCCGCCGCAAAAUCCAGUAGGACUGCGGCCGGGCUCCUAGACGUCACGCCGGUUCCAUCGCCCCCAGUAGGGUUUUGUGUGGGCUGAGUCGCCCCAGCCAUGUAGAUGGCGAUCGGGCGGCGAGUUCGGUCCAGGAUUUCCGAGUCCAUGGCCAGCGACAAGCUCCCAAGACAAUCCCCAUGCAAAGAGCGGAUUGAAUCUGAGUCACCCAUGGAUGAUUCGUCGUCAGAGUUGACCGGUGUAGUUUCCUGAAUCGCCGAGCGUUCUGGCUCUNNNNNNNNNNNNNNNNNNNNNNNNNNNNNNNNNNNNNNNNNNCUUCCGAUCCCUGCGUGAACCCCACAAAGACCGGGCGAGUCAGAUUUGGCGUUAUGAUUUGGCGGACGUACCUGGCCGGCUCGAUGAUGUCGGUGGAGACGUCCGGCUCAGGCGCGGAUGAUCCGAUCAUGCCGAUGAAGAUGUUGAUCUUGCCGAAGGGGACCAUGUAACCAGAUUCAAUCGAAUCCGCUUCAGUCCCCAUUGCUGGUUGUCGAUGUAGGUUACCCGCGGCGGCUCCGAGUCAUGAGCCCUGUCGCGUAACUCCCAAACCCGGGUAGGGCUCCCUUUGAGAACUCAACUCCACCGUGCGUAGGCCCCACGGUGGGCGCCCACUGUCGUGGUUUUGUCACGGCAGAUGUCCUCGUGUAAGGACUUAAGACUGGAGCCAUCACACCCUGGUGGCGACUCAAAGGGGUUAAGCGGGAGAGACACGGCGAUUUACCCAGGUUCGGCCCCUCGAGAGGAGGUAAUAGCCUACGUCCUGCCUUUGUGUGUAUUGAUGUGGAUUCGAUUACAAGGGGGGCGUAAUUCGCCAAACCUAGCACUCGAUGAUUUCUAACCCGCCCUCUGUUCCCAGGACUCGCCUUUAUAUACAGGUCGAUCCCCUAGGGUUUACAAGGAUUCUUUCCUUCCUACAACUCGUGACCCCCGUGGUCUCUAAGUCGCCAUCUUCCGAUGCUUGGAGACUUUCCAAGAGCCAUAACCGUCAUACGACCUUGAUUCGGCCAAAACGAGGCCCAACUAAAUGUUUGGGUGAAUCGCCCAAAGGAUAACCCGACCCAACUAGGGCGGGUCAUCUACAGGUAAUAUCCCCAACACAAUCCGACUAGAGUAGGAGAGACAGUCACCCGCUAGCCACCUUUAUGCACGAUGUGCCUGUCUGUCGGUGGAACCAGUCUCACGUAAGCGUACGUGUAAAGUCGGUCCGGGCCGCUUCAUCCCACAAUACCGCUGGAAAAGAAUAAGACUAAUAGCGGCAAGCAAAUUGACAAAUCAUCGCCCACAACUUUUGUGUUCUACUCGUGCAUAGAAUCUACGCAUAGAAAACCUGGCUCGGAUGCCACUGUUGGCUAACGUAGCAUAAAUUCAAAAUUUUCCUACGCAUAUUCAGAUCUUCCUAUGGAGAGACCAGCAACGAGAGAGGGGUAAGAGCAUGUUCAUACCUUUGAAGAUCGCUAAGCGGAAGCGUUGCUAGAACACGGUUGAUGGAGUCGUACUCGCAGCGAUUCCGAUCUAGUGCCGAACUACGACACCUCCGCGUUCAACAAACGUGCAGCCCGGUGACGUCUCCCGCACCUUGAUCCAGCAAGGAGGAGGGAGAGGUUGGGGAAGAACUCCAGCAGCACGACAGCAUGGUGUCGAUGGAGAGACGAGGUCUCCCGGCAGGGCUUCGCCAAGCACCGGCAGAGAGGAGGAGGAAGAAGGGCAGGGCUGCGCCGAGAGAGAGGGAAAACCGUGUCUUUCAAUGGCCAAAACCCCUCUCUAUUUAUAGGAGGAGGGGGGAGGGCUGCGCCACCCCUAGGGUUCCCUCCCUAGGGGCCGGCGGCCACCAGAUGGGAGAGGGGGCGGCGGCUAGGGUGGGAGGGGGUGUGGCGCACCACCUGGUGGGCCUAAGGCCCACCUGCGCCUAAGGUUACCCCCUCUCGCCACCACUUGCGCAUUGGGCUGGGUGUGGGAGGUGCACCAGCCCACCUAGGGGCUGGAUCCCUCCCGCACUUAGCCCAUCUAGCCUUUCGGGGUCGUUUCCCCCCUUCGGUGGACCCCCGGGGCCACCUCCGGUGGUCCCGGUACGUUACCGGUGACGCCCGAAACACUUCCGGUGUCCGAAACCAUCCGUCCUAUAUAUCAAUCUUUACCUCCGGACCAUUCCGGAGCUCCUCCUGACGUCCGGGAUCUCAUCCGGGACUUCGAACAACUUUCGGUAACCUCGUAUAUCAAUUCCCUAUAACCCUAGCGUCAUCGAACCUUAAGUGUGUAGACCCUACGGGUUCGGGAGACAGGCAGACAUGACUGAGACACCUCUCUGGACAAUAACUAUCAGCGGGGUCUGGAUACCCAUGGUGGCUCCCACUUGCUCCACGAUGAUCUCAUUGGAUGAACCACGAUGUCAAGGAUUCAAUCAAUCCCGUAUACGAUUCCCUUUGUCUGUCGGUAUAUAACUUGCCCGAGAUUCGAUCGUUGGUAUACCUAUACCUUGUUCAAUCUCGUUACCGGUAAGUCUCUUUACUCGUUCCGUAGCACAUCAUCGUGUGACUAACUCCUUAGUCACAUUGAGCUCAUGAUGAUGUUCUACCGAGUGGGCCCAGAGAUACCUCUCCGUCACACGGAGUGACAAAUCCCGAUCUCGAUUCGUACCAACCCAACAGACACUUUCGGAGGUACCCGUAGUGCACCUUUAUAGUCACCCAGUUACAUUGUGACGUUUGAUACACCCAAAGAACUCCUACGGUAUCUAGGAGUUGCACAAUCUCACGGUCGAAGGAAAAGAUACUUGACAUUAGAAAAGCUUUAGCAUACGAACAAUACGAUCUAGUGCUAUGCUUAGGAUUGGGUCUUGUCCAUCACAUCAUUCUCCUAAUGAUGUGAUCCCGUUAUCAAUGACAUCUAAUGCCCAUGAUCAUGAAACCAUGAUCAUCUAUUGACUAACGAGCUAGCCAACUAGAGGCUUGCUAGGGACACAUUGUGAUCUAUUUAUUCACACAUGUAUUACUGUUUCCUGUUAAUACAAUUAUAACAUGAACAAUAGACGAUUAUCAUGAACAAGGAAAUAUGAUAAUAACCAUUUUAUUAUUGCCUCUAGGGCAUAUUUCCAACAGUCUCCCACUUGCACUAGAGUCAAUAAUCUAGUUACAUUGUGAUGUAUCGAACACCCAUAGCAUUAUGGUGUUGAUCAUGUUUUGCUCGUGGAAGAGGUUUAGUCAACGGGUCUGCAAUAUUCAGAUCCGUGUGUACUUUACAAAUAUCUAUUACUCCACUCUGGACAUGGUCCUGGAUGGAGUUGUAGCGGCGUUUGAUGUGCUUCGUCCUCCGGUGAAACCUGGGCUCCUUGGCUAUGACAAUGGCUCCAGUGUUAUCACAGAAGAGUGUCAUUGGACCCGACGCGCUUGGAACCACUCCAAGGUCGGUGAUGAGCUCCUUCAUCCAAAUUCCUUCAUGAGCUGCUUCUGAAGGAGCUAUGUACUCCGCUUCACAUGUAGAUGCUGCCACGACUUCUUGCUUGCUGCUGCACCAGCUCACUGCCCCACCAUUCAACACAUAUACGUAUCCGGUCUAUGACUUAGAGUCAUCCGGAUCUGUGUCGAAGCUAGCGUCGACGUAACCCUUUACGACGAGCUCUUCGUCACCUCCAUAAACGAGAAACAUUUUCUUAGUCCUUUUUAGGUACUUAAGGAUAUUCUUGACCGUUGUCCAGUGUUCCAUACCUGGAUCACUUUGGUACCUCCCUACCAAACUUAUGGCAAGGUUUAUAUCAGGUCUGGUACACAGCAUGGCAUACAUUAGAGAGCCCACGACUGAAGCGUAGGGGACAGAACUCAUCUUCUCUCUAACUUCUGCCGUGGUCGGCGACUGAGUCUUACUCAAUCUCAUACCUUGCAAAACAAGCAAGAACCCUUUCUUUGAGUUUUCCAUAUUGAACUUCUUCAAUAUCUUUUCAAGGUACGUACUUUGCGAAAGACCUAUGAGGCGUCUUGAUCUAUCUCUAUAGAUCUUGAUGCCUAAUAUGUAUUGAGCUUCUCCAAGGUCCUUCAUUGAAAAACUCUUGUUCAAAUAGGCCUUUAUUCUCUCCAACAUCUCUAUAUUAUUCCCCAUCAAUAAUAUGUCAUCCACAUACAGUAUGAGGAAAGCUACAGAGCUCCCACUCACUUUCUUGUAUAGAUAGGCUUCUCCGUAAGCCUGUAUGAACCCAAACGCUUUAAUCACCUCAUUAAAGCGAAUGUUCCAACUCCGAGAUGCUUGCACCAGCCCAUAGAUGGAGCGCUGGAGCUUCCACACUUUGUUAGCACCCUUAGGGUCGACAAAACCUUCUGGUUGCAUCAUAUACAACUCUUCCUUAAGGUUCCUGUUAAGGAACGCUGUUUUGACGCCCAUUUGCCAAAUUUCAUAAUCAUAAAAGGCGGCAAUUGCUAAAAUGAUUCGGACUGAUUGCAGCUUCGCUACGGGAGAGAAAGGCUCUUCAUAGUCAACUCCUUGAAUUUGUCGAAAACCCUUUGCGACAAGUCGAGCUUUGUAAAUGGUUACAUUACCGUUUGCAUCAGUCUUCUUCUUGAAGAUCCAUUUAUUUUCUAUGGCUCGCCGGUCAUCGGGCAAGUCCACCAAAGUCCAUACUUUGUUCUCAUAUUUCUAUGGUUCGCCGGUCAUCGGGCAAGUCCACCAAAGUCCAUACUUUGUUCUCAUACAUGGAUCCUAUCUCGGAUUUCAUAGCCUCAAGCCAUUUGUUGGAAUCCGGGCCCGCCAUCGCUUCUUCAUAGUUCGAACGUUCACCGUUGUCUAACAACAUGAUUUCCAUCACAGGGUUGUCGUACCACUCUGGUGAGGAGCGUGCCCUUGUGGACCUUCACGGUUCAGUAGUAACUUGACCCGAAGCUUCAUGAUCAUCAUCAUUAACUUCCUCUUCAGUCGGUGCAGGCGCCACAGGAACAACUUCCCGCGCUGCGCUACUAUCCUGUUCGAGAGGGGGUGUAAUUACCUCAUCAAGUUCUACCUUCCUCCCACUUACUUAUUUCGAGAGAAACUCUUUCUCUAGAAAGGAUCCGUUCUUGGCAAUCCUUGCAACCAUGGUCACAAGCACCGUUGUUUUAUCCCUGGUGGCAACAGCACAUCCCCUAGUCUAACAUUUCUGUCACUCAAGCUAGACAUCAGGGGGCAUGAACCCGCAAUCAUGCAUAGCGCUCCCUCUUGGAGUUGUAAUUUACUACUCGGCCAAAGCAAUAGAAAGCAACGGAGAACAUGCAUGAAUCAAAUAUAUAACUCAUAACAAUCUGAACAUAAUCUCAUAAUCCAUCGGAUCCAAUCAAACCGAGCAUAGCAAUAGCAUGAAAAUUACAUAGGUGCCAUGAUCAUGUAGGGAAGCUCACAAGGACUAAUCAUGGAAGCACAAGAUUGGAGAGAUGACAUUACAUAGCUACUGGUCAUGGACUCAUGGUCCAAGGAGGACUACUCACGACACGUCCAAGAAGCGUCCAUGGGGGUGGAGAAUCUCCCGGAGGUCAAUCCUUCCUCCGGUAGGGUGUCGGGAAGAGGUCUCCUGACGCUCCCGAUCUCGGAAGUGCUGCAGCGGCGGAACGAUGGGGAAAUUUGCGAUUCUGGAUCCCGUACAGGGUUUUCCUGGACGAGGGGUAAAUAUAGGCGAAAGGAGGGCACCAGAGGGCGUGGGCCCCACCCAGGCGGCCUCUUGGCGCGAUCUAGGGGUGGGUUGCGCCCACAGGUCGCCCGGGCGGCCCCUGCCCCCUCUGACCCCCUUUCGUGCUUCGUGAAGCCUCUCGCGCGCUGAUUUUUAUAUAUUUUUCUCGGGAUUUUUGGGGCUCUGGAAAAUUGGGUAAAAGCCCGUGCAAAAAAGACAUCAGUAGACAAAAACUGGCACUGGGUGCACUGAGUUAGUAGGUUAGUCCAAAUAUGUGUAAAAAGAUAUAAAAGAGUAGCAAAACAUAUAACAAUGUCACCCAAAAGAUCAUGGAACAAGUAGAAAUUAUAGAUACAUUUGGGACGUAUCAACAUCCCCAAGCUUAAUUCGUGCUCUUCCUUGAGUAGGUAAAUGAUAACACAAUAAUUUCUGUGGUGACAUGCUGACACACAUAUAAGAACUUCAAAGUAAAGCAAGUGAGAUAUGCAAUUCAAGUCAAGACAAUAACAAGCAAGAGUCUAUACCUAGUAUUGAAAUUAGCAAAGUAAGAACAUAAAGGUGCAAGAGCUCUCGCUGCCGUGUCUCGAAUGUCUUCAAAUGGUGUUUGCGUGCAAGAAGUGGGAGAUGGGUUUAGAGAUAAUAUAUUUUUUAAUUGAGAACUCAAUCUACUAAACCUCACACUUGGUCUCCUUCGGAAUCUUAUUUUGACUCAUCACGAGCCCACUAGUCAGGCACAAGUCAAAAUGAUCCUCUCCCUUUCGACUUUGAGCACUCAUGCAAUGGAUGAGCGUAAGCAAGAUAUGUUGGCACUUAGGAUGGCAAAUAGAAUAAUGGUGGGGAAGGAAGACAAAAAGGGUGUGAAAGGCUCACAUCAAUGAGGACAACCAUAGGCGAGAGAAAGCCAAAUGAUAGAUAUGAUGUGAGGAGUAGGGAUUGCCAUGCAACGAUGCACAUAUGAGCUAAGGUAAGCUCUCUAAUGGAACUAGUGGGAUGCAUCCAACUUGCUUUCUCACGAAGACGUAGAGCUCAUUUGAGGAGGCUCAUCAUUGGAAUAUACAAGUCAAGUUCUAUAGUGUAAGGGCCCCCACAUAGUUAUGCAUGAAUGAUAAUCUCUAUGUAGUACAAAUAUAGCAAUGGAGUACGAGUGUGUAUCCUUCAAAAGGAAUAGUAGUGUUGCCCCCUUCUCUCUUUUUUUGUGGCCUCUUUGGCUCUUUCUUUUUAUCUCUCAUUUGUCCUCUUUGGGAUCUUUUCCUCACUUUAGGGCAACACUCUAUGUUUUACAAGAAUAAAAAGAAAAUCAUCACACUUUGUAAUAAGUACUCAACAUAAAGACAAGUGAAAACUAUCAUGAUGUAUGCAAAUGUAUGCCUCUGCGAGUGUAGGAGGAUAUGCAAUGAAACUAGUGCGUCAUGUAGCAGUAAUAAGGGCAAGGCCCAACUAUCAUGCGUGUGCUCGAUCAAGCAAAAGCAUGUAUGACAUGAAGAUCAAGUCAUGAGAUGGUGGAUGUUCCAUGACAAUGUAUCUCGGAAAGGCUAUGGAAAUGCCUUAAUAGGUAGGUAUGGUGGCUGUUUUGAGGAAAGAUAUAAUGAGGCUUAUGAUGACGGAGCGUAUCAUGCCAAGGGUUUGGAUGCACCCACGAAGUUUGCACCAACUCUCAAGGUGAUAAAGCGCAAUGCACGGUACCGAAGAGGCUAGCAAAAUAUGAAUGGUGGAAGUGCCAACAAUCGAAUACUCACAUUAGUCUGAAGAACACGUACACUUAUUAUCGGUAAAUCUCUAUCUAGUUAGGAAAUUCACAAAGAGACAAGUACCCCUAGGAGGAGUGUUUUGGGGGUUUGGUUAUCCUUGCACAUCCUCGACCCAUGGUAACGUGAGGGUACUCUAUAUAUUCUUGCGCAUCCUCGACCCAUGGUAACAUCUCAGCAAUAAGCAGAGAGGAUGUGUACCCGGAGAACAACAGGGGAGGCACUGACAAAAUUCCCCAUCGGAUCCGGAGCACAGCAUACGGGAAAACAAACCCAAUCUACACAUACUCGGGCUGUCCAUGGAUAAUGUUGGACAAUUCGAAAGGAUGGCGGUUAUAAAUAUGCAAAGAAAUGCAUAUUGAUAGAUGUCGCCCUUUUGAACAGCAGACGCAUACUGGUCACGCAUACUCAUGAUUGAAGAAACCUAUAGCUAGCAAGUUUCAUCGGCACGAAGACCGGGACAGAGCAAAUUAAGGGGGUAGGAGGAGAAGUCAUUUGUGCUCACCAACAAACGCAAGGGCGGACCUCGUCCAACGCACGUGGAGGUCGUCGAACAACUGCACAUUGAAAUUCACCCGAUCAACACAAAUAUGAUGUUUUUAUAAUUAACAUAAUCGGAAAAUAUGUGACCUAACUCAUAAUUUACAAAAUUAUGAACCCGUCGGCUUAGUGGCGUCGAUGGUCGGUGGUGUCGGGUGUCGGUGGCGUCGGCGGUUGGGGGUUAGUUGUGUCGGUGGUCGGGGGUUAGUGUUGUCGGGGGUCGAGGAUCGCUGGCAUCGGGGGUUGGGGUCUCUUUGGUCAACAAGAGGCCGAAGAGGUGUCGGGGUCGGGGGUGGGGGUCAAUGGUGUCGGGGGGCGGGGGGAGGGGGCCGGGGNNNNNNNNNNNNNNNNNNNNNNNNNNNNNNNNNNNNNNNNNNNNNNNNNNNNNNNNNNNNNNNNNNNNNNNNNNNNNNNNNNNNNNNNNNNNNNNNNNNNNNNNNNNNNNNNNNNNNNNNNNNNNNNNNNNNNNNNNNNNNNNNNNNNNNNNNNNNNNNNNNNNNNNNNNNNNNNNNNNNNNNNNNNNNNNNNNNNNNNNNNNNNNNNNNNNNNNNNNNNNNNNNNNNNNNNNNNNNNNNNNNNNNNNNNNNNNNNNNNNNNNNNNNNNNNNNNNNNNNNNNNNNNNNNNNNNNNNNNNNNNNNNNNNNNNNNNNNNNNNNNNNNNNNNNNNNNNNNNNNNNNNNNNNNNNNNNNNNNNNNNNNNNNNNNNNNNNNNNNNNNNNNNNNNNNNNNNNNNNNNNNNNNNNNNNNNNNNNNNNNNNNNNNNNNNNNNNNNNNNNNNNNNNNNNNNNNNNNNNNNNNNNNNNNNNNNNNNNNNNNNNNNNNNNNNNNNNNNNNNNNNNNNNNNNNNNNNNNNNNNNNNNNNNNNNNNNNNNNNNNNNNNNNNNNNNNNNNNNNNNNNNNNNNNNNNNNNNNNNNNNNNNNNNNNNNNNNNNNNNNNNNNNNNNNNNNNNNNNNNNNNNNNNNNNNNNNNNNNNNNNNNNNNNNNNNNNNNNNNNNNNNNNNNNNNNNNNNNNNNNNNNNNNNNNNNNNNNNNNNNNNNNNNNNNNNNNNNNNNNNNNNNNNNNNNNNNNNNNNNNNNNNNNNNNNNNNNNNNNNNNNNNNNNNNNNNNNNNNNNNNNNNNNNNNNNNNNNNNNNNNNNNNNNNNNNNNNNNNNNNNNNNNNNNNNNNNNNNNNNNNNNNNNNNNNNNNNNNNNNNNNNNNNNNNNNNNNNNNNNNNNNNNNNNNNNNNNNNNNNNNNNNNNNNNNNNNNNNNNNNNNNNNNNNNNNNNNNNNNNNNNNNNNNNNNNNNNNNNNNNNNNNNNNNNNNNNNNNNNNNNNNNNNNNNNNNNNNNNNNNNNNNNNNNNNNNNNNNNNNNNNNNNNNNNNNNNNNNNNNNNNNNNNNNNNNNNNNNNNNNNNNNNNNNNNNNNNNNNNNNNNNNNNNNNNNNNNNNNNNNNNNNNNNNNNNNNNNNNNNNNNNNNNNNNNNNNNNNNNNNNNNNNNNNNNNNNNNNNNNNNNNNNNNNNNNNNNNNUCGAGGGGAGCGGGGGUGGAGCGUGCCGUUAGGGGAGCGGGGGUGGGGGAUGGGUGCCGUUAGGGGGAGCCCCUCUUUGCCGUCUGCAGAAGCUGGGAGGCGGACGGCAAAGGGGUGGGUGGGGUGGGGCGGGCUUCGGCCGUUAGGGUGGCGCCCCUUUGCCGUCCGGGUUCUCUUUGCCGUCCGCCUCUGGGGCCUUUGCCAUGUGUUAGCAGACGGCAAAGAGGUGGCCGACGGCAAAUAAAAACUUUGCCAUCAGCAACCUCUUUGCCGUGUGCUUUGUGCCAGCUGACGGCAAAGAGGAUCUUUGCCAUGCGUCAGCAGACGGCAAAGGCAUGGCAGAUGGCAAAUUUCUCAAUUCCAGUAGUGCCUCCAGAGGUUAGCGAUCAAUUUAGUAGCUAGAGUUCUCAACUAAUUUUUAAUUUUUGAAAAACACACGGAUUUCCCAAAAUACGACACCUAUCACUAAUAGGCUCAAGCUCUUGGCACCAAUAGUACAAACAUUACUCAAAUCAAUACCUCAAAAUUAUUGCAAGUUACUACUAUACUUAAAUAGCAACCUCAAUUACCUACUCAUGCAAGACACACAACUCAGUGCAACAAGCCAACUCUCUAAACAAGAUAAGCAUGAUAAUUCAAGAGAGUUCCAAAAGCAACCUAAAUAAUAGCCCUUAAAAAGAUAUAGCAUGAAAACUAAGAGCUAGGCUUGAUAGUAGCUACGAAAAGUUAAAGAACACACAAAAAAGAUAAUCAUGAAAACCUAUGUUGUGUUCUAGAGUGGAAUGGAGCGUGUUUCUCUCCCAAACAAGGUAUAAUAGGUUCCGGCUUCUUAUGAACAGCAAGCAAAACUAAAUAAACUAAAAACUAAAGAGCGGGACGCUCCAAGCAUAGCACAUAACAUAUGAAGUGAUAGAAAUAUAGCAUGGAGAUGGACGAACUGAUGAUUGUUGAUAGAGAAGGGGAUGCACGGGAGCGUCCCCAAGCUUAGAUGCUUGCAUCUCCUUGAAUAUUUCUUGGGGGUGCAUGGGGGCAUCCCCAAGCUUGAGCUCUUGACACUCUUGGAUCUUCUUUCAUCAUCUUUUAUCGCAUACUUGAAAACUCCCUUCAUACGAAACUCAUCAUAAAAUGAUUAGAGUGGUUAGUACCCAUGAUAAAAUAGUUCAUUACCUACUGGAAAUAAUAAUUUUCAUGAAAAUAUAUUGUUUCUCAUUAUUGCCAAAAGGUUUUUGCGAAGGAAAAGAAAUCUUAAGAUUUGGAAAAUGAUGAAAACGCAAAAUGUGGCAGAAUCUGUGUAAAACAGAACAGCAGGUAGUAAAUUAUUUUUCUGGGUACUUAUGCAACUCAAAUCAAACAACUCAUAACAGAUGCCAGAAAGACAAUUAUAUAUAGCAUGCUGUCAAAAAGAUUCAGAUCAAAAAGAUGAUCUGGUGAUUUUUGGCGAAUUGUUCCGUCAAACAGACAUAAUCUGUUUCUGGACAGCAUGUCACAACUUUUGAACUUUAUUGCAAUCGGAGGCUAAAACUUGGCACAAAGCUUGAAAAUAAAGAUACAAUGAUGUUGCUAAAGUAGUAACACACAUCAAGACCACUAAAAACUGAAAGUAAAAAACUCAAAGUAAAGAUAACAAGGGUUGUCUCCCUAGAGCUCUUUCUUUAUAGCCAUAAAGAUAGGCUUAAGAUUUUAAUGAUGCUCUUGUAGGAAUAAGAGUUGUAGAACAAAAGAGAGCAUCAAGAAGCAAAUACCAAACACAUUUAAGUCUAACAUGCUUCCUAUGCAUAGGAAUAUUGCAAGAGAAUAAUUCAUUGAAGCACAAGGCAAUAAGCAUAGGAAGGCAAAACAAGUGCAUCUCCAAAACCUUCAACAUAAAGAGAGGGAACUUGAUAUUAUUGAAAUAUCUAUAAGCAUAUGUUCCCUUCUCAUAAUAACUUUCAGUGGGAUCAUGAAUAAACUCAACAAUAUAACUAUCAUAUAAGGUAUUACUUCCAUGAUCCACAUGCAAAGGUACUCUUACUCUCCACAUAAGCAUAAUCUUUGGGGAGCCCAUGGUUAGGACAUUUUAGCACUAAAGUUUUCAGUCUCCCCCAAUCUUGAGCUAUGCUUUCUCCGUCACGAGACAAAAAGUUAUAAAUAUAGUUCAUGUCUCGAUGUAUUUCAUGAAGAGGAUAAAACUUUGCAUAAAAAAGAGGCAUAAGAUCUUGCCAAUUCAGCAAAUGAGAGUUAUCAAGAAGCCAAUACCAAUCCAAAGCCUUAUAUUUUAAUGAUAGAUAGAAUAGCUUUCUCAUAACAAAAUCCAUCAAUAUACCUGCAAGGUUAAAUAAGGAGCAUAGUUGUGAAAGAAAUAACAAGUGUUCGCCUGGAUGUCUAUCUCCUGCAUAUCGAUUAGCCAAGACACAAUCAAUAAUACCAGUUGGUAUUUUAAAGGGCACAAUUUCCGUAGGUGGGGGAGGCUUCUCCACCACAAUAGCGGUGGGGCGGUUCCCCACAAGCAGCGAACUAAGACUGCAGUUUUCCAUAAGCCUAACUAGCCAUGCCAAUCAUGAAAAGCAAACUAAUAAGAGAAAACAGCCAAGGUAAAAGAUAGCGUGCAACUCCCCUAUCUUGAAGACUGGAGUCCCCGGCAACGGCGCCAGAAAACUUGCUUGAUGACAAGAUGAUGUAUAUACUUCUCGCUCCUCGUUGGUUACCCCAAGGGGAAGGUUGAGAUGUAGUCAGCAAGAAGUUUUCCCUUACACGAAGACUGUAAGGUUUAUCGAACCAAGAGGACUCCUAGGAUCAACAAGUAGGUGUCUCCCACCCUGGCACUAUUAGAAGACGUGGACUUGCACACACACAAAUAACUUUUCUCCCAAUGAGUACAGAGAGGUUGUCAAUCUCUUCGGCCUUGUAGUCUGCAAAGGAUCAAAACACAAGCGGGAAUAGUAAUAGUGAUUGCAAUGGAAAAGUAAAUGAAAGCAAUAAAUGAUGGAGGUGUAAGCAAUGGUGGUGAUAUGGACCGGAGUCACAUGAUGUUCACUAGUGAUGUCUCUCUCCCAAAAGAUGAUAAACAACUAUGCUUGGGUGAACAAAUUACAGCUGGGCAAUUGACAGAAUGAUGAACGCAGCACAAUGCUAAUUAUGCUACUUGAAAGUUAGAGGCUUAAUAGUAAUGGGCAGUACACCAAGACAAGUAGACUGUUUAUUCAUUAACAUCUACUUACUAACCAUCCACCUUGAGAUAUCUAUCCAGAACAUCUCACUGGUAUUAAGUUGUGAGCCCCACCCAAAGUGUAAACUCAAAGCAACGGACAACUGCAUUAACGAACUAUGUGUAAGGUAAACAAUCCUUGCAACCGUGGUCACAAGCACCAUUGUUUUACCCCUGGUGGCAACAACACAUCCCCUAGUCUCAUGUAUCUGUCAAUCAAGCUAGACAUCAGGGGGCAUGAACCCACAAUCAUGCAUAAGGAUCCCUCUUGGAGUUGCAAUCUACUACUCGGCCAAAGAAAUACAAAGCAAUAGAGAACAUGCAUGAACCACUAAAGAACAUAAUAUAAAAGGAUAAUAAAAUAUAUAACUCAUAAUAAUCUGAACAUAAUCUUAUAAUCCAGCGGAUCCCAUCAAACCGAGCAUAGCAAUAGCAUGAAAAUUACAUAGGUGCCUUGAUGAUGUAGGGAAGCUCACAAGGACUAAUCAUCGAAGCACAAGAUUGGAGAGAAGACAUCACAUAGCUACUGGUCAUGGACUCAUGGUCCAAUGAGGAUUACUCAUGACACGUCCGGGAAGCGUCCAUGGCGGUGGAGAAGCUCCCGGAGGUCAAUCCUCCCUCCGGUAGGGUGUCGGGAAGAGGUCUCCUGACGCUCCCGAUCUCGGAAGCGCUGCAGCGGCGGAACGAUGGAGAAAUUUGCGAUUCUGGAUCACGUACAGGGUUUUCCUGGACGAGGGGUAAAUAUAGGCGAAAGGAGGGCACCAGAGGGCGUGGGCCCCACCCAGGCGGCCUCUUGGCACGACCUAGGGGUGGGCUGUGCCCUCAGGUCGCCUGGGCAGCCCCUGCCCCACUCUGUCCCCCUUUUGUGCUUCGUGAAGCUUCUGAUGCGCUGAUUUUUAUAUAUUUUUCUCGGGAUUUUUGGGGCUCCGGAAAAUUGGGUAAAAGCCCAUGCAAAAAAGACAUCAAUAGACAGAAACUGGCACUGGGUGCACCGAGUUAGUAGGUUAGUCCAAAUAUGUGUAAAAAGAUAUAAAAGUGUAUUAAAACAUAUAACAAUGUCACCCAAAAGAUCAUGGAACAAGCAGAAAUUAUAGAUACGUUUGGGACGUCUCAACCACCUUCUUUAAAUUAGAUUUGGCAGAUGCGGGAUGAAGUCCUACCACAUGAUCGCAUACGAGAAAUUCAAGAGGAAUUGGCGGGAUUCUUUCCUGACCACGUCAUAUCUAAAUACGGAGAAUACUAUGUGGGUUAUUUGUGAUUGGAUCUUAAGUAGAUGAUGUUAGGGAUUGUAAAAGGUGUUAUAUUGUAAAAGAUAUUAGGGAUUGUUAAUGGUUUCCUUAAUUUUCAUAUUAGCUAGCGUCAAGUUAUUUCUAUAUGUAUAGUAUCUAGCGUCCACCAAGAACGGAGAAAGAGAGGACACUUCUCUCUAUUAGCUAGCUAACACAAUAUGAAACCACUAAAUUAACCCUCCAAAACCCCCAAACCCCCCAUUAAAAAAAACCCCAACUCCGACCAGAUGCUGACGCGUGGAUGCCAUUUGGUCCCGGUUAGUGUGAAAAACCAGGACUAAAGUUCCUCGUGCCUGGGCUCCCCGCAGCGGCCAUGUGGAGACACUUCUGUCCCGGUUCGUAAGCAAACCAGGACUAAAGGUUUUGGGCUUUAGUCCCGACCCUUUAGUCCCGGUUCCAGAACCGGGGCUAAUGGCCCCUCUGGAACCGGGACAAAUGGGCCUUUUUCUACUAGUGUGUAAAGCUCAACAUGCCCCCACACAGCUCAACAUGUGUGCUCUAAAUAUAGAACAUGAACAUGAAUUCAUUCAUGGAGUUGGAUAGUCAAACAUACAUAAUGAACAAAAAGAAUCAGUAUGAGAUCAUGACUAAUGCAGAUCACCAAGAUAUUUGUGAAUGGUUCAUCACAUAGAUGAACAUUAAUACAAACAUAAAGAGAGAUAACUUUUCAGAAUGAGUCUUUGAGUGCUCAGAUGGCAAACCUUAUCCUUGUACCUCUCAUGUGAGACGGGGACACCCAUUUCACAUCCAUUAUAAAGUAAGACUUUGAUAUAAUAAAGUAAGACUUCAACUCUUCUUUCAACCAAGCAUAUGUGGUGGAGCGUCGCGCGUUUUGGCUCCAUGAUCAAGUUGUUGAGGCCUCAUCAAUGUACUUCUCCAGUUUCUCCUUUAUCAAACAAAGUUCCAAGAACAAGUGAUCCAUGUCAUGGGACAACUGACAUGUUGAAAUUAAUCAAUGAUCAAAGUGUACUUGGUAAAAGGGUCAUCUAUUAUUCCUCGCAAAUUUUCAACAUGAUACAUUACAAAGUUCGUAGGUUUUUUGCUAAAAAAUAUGUUUAGCUAAAUUGACAAUGGAUAUAAUGAUGCUAUCUUAUUGAAACUUUAUUAUACCAAUUCUUACACAUUCAAUACUCAAAAAAUACACCAAUACAAACUUUAACAAAUGCAAAUUUGAAAUUUCCAUGUGUCCUCUGAUCAUCUUGUCAUCACGCGACUUAGGCAUCAAGGUGUAUAUCGUAAUGGUAUUGGUAGUGGGUAUUCCUGCUUGCAAGAAAUAGACAGAGCCAAGCUUGUGUGUUGUAACAAACUAGUUAGGAAUUGGCUUGUACAUAUUAGUCAUGGAGCUGUGGGGCACCAAUGAUAGUGGCCCUCUCAUCAAUUGUGGCUUCAUACUUGUGACCAUCAAUCAUCCACAAUUGAGCCAUCACCAUAGAAAUGAACAGUCGAAUAGAAUUCCAUGAUUAGUUUAUCAUUCCAUGGAGUCAUCUCUCUUCCAACAAAUUCUUCAAUAUCCACAUAAUUGAAUUUUUCUUGCACAUGGGGAAAGAAAUCUUCAUUGGCUUUGAUAUAAGCCCAGUCAACAUAUCUCAUGUCACUAACAUCUAGACUCUUGUCAUAUAGAACAAUCUCAUAAAAGUCUUGUUGUUCCUUCGUAUGGAAUCUAGGAUCAAUAGGAGUCCUUCUCCUGAUAGCAUAUGGAUCAAUAGCUCUCCAAUUCCUCAGCCCUGCAUCUCUCCUCUUCUUCAUGUCCUCAACUACUGGGUGAGUAGCAUUAUGUAGUGGCAAAUGAUGUUUGAGCUUCAUGAGAAUGGGUGCACCCUCCUCUUCCUCUACAACAAAGGCACUAGAAGCAGGGCCUUUCUCCUUGGUAGUUUCAUGUAUAUCCUUUGUUGUCCUCUUGGGAGCUACAACCUUCUUAGCCUUAGUGGGAGGCUUUGGAGCAGAUGUCCUCGGCAUGGCAUCAACUAUGAGGUUCUUCUUCUUUAGGGGAGGGGCUUCAGUUGGGAUCUCUUCCUCUUCAGCAACUUCUGGGUCCUCAUACAUAGAGGUUUGUCUCCCAACGACAUGAAUCACCCUCUUCUUGGCUCUCUUCAGAGAUGGCUUCUUAGCAGGGUUUUCAGUGGUGAUUUCCGUACCUUGCUUUGCAAACUUAGGGGCUCUAAGAUCAAUAGACCUUGCAUACUAUUUCCUGAUAGUCUUCUUGGUAAGAGCCUUUUCCUUAUGUUUUUGAUGGACAAAAGUUUCCUCUGGCACAAAGUCUGAAUCUUCUUCAUCAGAAUUAAGUUUCCUUCUUGACCUAGUAGCCGCUGCUACCUCUUGAGCUUGCGUUGGUUUUCCCUCGAAGAGGAAAGGGUGAUGUAGCAUAGUAGCAGUAAGUAUUUCCCUCAGUUUGAGAACCAAGGUAUCAAUCCAGUAGGACUAUCAAGGAAAGUCUCCAAAGUACCUGCGCAAAAACAGCAAACUUGCACCCAACGCUACAAAGGGGUUAUCAAUCCCUUCACGACUGAUUUCAAGGUGAGAUCUGAAGGCGGAAAGUGCAACAAAGUAAAAGUGUAAGGCUGAAAAUAUAAUGUGAAGUAGUGUCGGGACCCCGAUCCUAAGUCAUAGGAAUCCAGCCUGUAACACAUCGCAUCUCUUUGCGGUCUCACGCACGGUUUUCCCCAUGGCUGCAGCCUUACCUUAGCCGGGACCGUUUGCGCCUUUUGACUCGUGUAUGCAAUUGUGUCGCUAGCAAUCCACUGACAGAGAACCCGGAUCGACAUGUCUAGUCAUAAACCAAAGCGGCAGUUCCGCACAGGGACAUGCAUACAUGACCCAACAAAGCAGGUGUCGGUCACCAGCGAAUGUAGACGAGUCGUAGCAAGCUACAUGGACUCCAUUACAUCGCGUGACAUUUCCCCAAAGGGGACAGACACAACAGCUAAGAAAGACACAUGUCGGUCAACCAAUGUGUCCGGAGCAGUAGCGAACUACCAUGGCUCGUUGGAUCACAAAGGGGCAUUUCCUUGUAAGGAAUGCUGUUAAAGCCUACGACUAGGUAAUCGAACCCCAUACAUAUCAAGUACAACAUACGUACGCAUGGCAUACCGAUAUGUAUAGAUACAUCGAUGGCAUCACAACAUAACCAUAAUCAUACAAACUUUAUUUAGAAGGCUCGGAANNNNNNNNNNNNNNNNNNNNNNNNNNNNNNNNNCGGAAGAGCCACACACAUAAUAUUACAAGGUAGGGGUCUCACGACCCAUCAUCAAAAGUCAUACACAUAAUUCUUACAACCCAGCGGAAGAUUUAAAGCUGUCUGAGUACAGACAGAGGAAAAGAUAAAGGCACAUGGCCUGACUAUCUACAGACCCACCCUAGGGCCAGAUCGUAGCUGGGAUACCAGCUACUCGUCGUCGAUGUCUAGGUAGAACCCUCCAUUAGGGUCAUUAACAACCUCUGCAACAAAUUAUUAAGAAAAUGUGAGUACAGAGGUACUCAGCAAGACUUUAGGAUAUCUAUCUACUCAUGCAAUGUAUCAAUAAGGAGUUGUGGGGUUUCAUGCGGAAAGCCAGCAUUUGACCCGUGGCUAGACAACUUGCAUUUUCAAAUGAUUUUGACAACUUGAUUUCUCGCACACGAGUCCACUAACACCACAACAAUACUCCAUCAUGGAAUCAUUCCAUCUCCAUACGGAAAUGCCGUCCAUGACACUCACGCUUAUCUUGACAAUUUUAUGAGUAGCCAUUAAAGUUAUCUAUGAACAACAUAUGUCUCCAAGUAGUCCAUAUCCGCGGACGCGGCUAUUCGAAUAGAUCAUAACCCUGCAGGGGUGUACUUCUUCACACACGCUCUCGCCAUUUAUCGCCAUGUGCAUGUCAUGCACCUCGGCAACCUUCAAGCGGAAGCCCAGCGAGGGAGUCGGCCACGACCGUUAUCCAUGCUAUUACUUAGUCCAGGUCUAUCGCCUAUCUAAGGGUAACCCGCACGGAAGUCCGACCGAGGUUUCCGCCACGGCCCCAAACGAUGUGCGCAGGGUUCCCAAGCCCACCAUCCGGGUUCCACUUGGUACACCGUGCCACUGCCUACCGCAUCAUAGCCCACCUCUAAGGUCAGCGCUACGCACGGCCUCCAGCAUGACUAUAAACACCAGAAACUACUUGCAACUCCUGGACCGAGUACUAGGCGAUUAAUAAGUCGAGCGGGGUCAUAUUUCAGGGCCCAGCAUGUGGUAGUAUCUCGUCUUGGAUUACAUACACAGAACUCAGUUCCUAAGGACGGUUCCAAUGAAACAACCCACCAUGUACUCCUACAUAGCCUUUCAUCGGUACCUUUACCAAAUCAGGUUCAACACACAACCUUUACUCACUGAACACAUUCUCACAACUCUGUUCAUCUCCCAGAUGACAGACCAUACACAACUCUAAGCAUAGCAUGCAUAGCAGGAUAAGGCACAUCAUGGCUCAAGCAUCUACCAGGUAUGCUAGGUUGCAAGGUUGAGCUAUUUACUGUGACAAAGACAGGUCAUGCAAAGGAAGUGGGUUCAACUAAUGUGGCAAAAGCAUUCAAAGCAUUUGAUCCUAAUGCAAUAAGUAAGUGCAGGAGCGAGAACAUGGGAUUUAUCGGGAUGAUCAAAGUGGUUGCUUGCCUUGUUGCUCAGCACAGGGACAAUAUCCGUCAGUCGGAUAUUCGGUGGAAUCCGGAGGAGCGAAGCCUACCGAUAGAAAUGACAUCAAUCAAUAACAAUCAUAUCCAACAAAAUGAUGCAUGAGCAUGGCAUGAAGAUGCAAGGUGGUAUGCUAAUAUAGCUAUCAUUUAUUAAGUUUGAAGUUGAUUUGAAUCAAGAUUCAAUAUCACUUUAAACAAGGUAUUUUUAAAUACCCUUUUACUUGAUUGGACCUAAUGCUCAUAUAAUAUUGUAUUAAUAUGCAUGAUGAUGGUAUUUUGAGGUGCUAAUCGUUAUUGAUCAUUGUUUGGUCAUAGAAUUUGAAAUGGAAUUCAGAUGGAUUUCAAAUUCCAAAUCUAUAUUACUUAUUAUGGUUAUCCUAAUCAUCAGUUAAUCUGUUUGGUGAUGCUAACAUUUUCAAACAUGUUUGAAAAUAUCAAAAUCAGAUUCCUUGGAUUUUUCUGAUACUUUUUCAUAUAUAAUUUAUUUCCAUUGGAGUUACAGAUUAUUUUCUAUGAUUUUUAGAAGUUUUGGGCAUUUUCUGGAAUUCUUUUAAAUCAGAAACUCUUUACUGCAUCAGCAUGACAUCAGCAGGUCCAACUGGCCGCUGAAAGUCAAACCUGACCAGUGGAAUCCAGUGGUCAGUGACUGUGGCCAGUUUUAGAUUAAAUUUAAACUUAAUUAGAUAAUUAACAGAACUGGACCCACAUGUCAGUGACUGAUUAGUUUAAUUAAUUUUAUUUUUAUUAACUCUAAUCAUCCAGAGGCUGGCCCCACGUGUCAGUGGCUCAGGCCAGCUGAGAUCCACCGGCGGCGAGGUGGUUCUCGUCGGCGGUGAGCCUCCGGCGACCACCGAGACGGCGGAGGGACUCGGAAACGGCGCGCAUGCAGCCAAACUCCACGUUGAGUGCACCAGAAGAACGCCACGACUCACGCGGGUCCAUUUUUGCACUCAGGCGAGGAUGAUCUGGCCGGAGAAGGCACCAGCGACGAGCUUGGCGGCGGCCCAAGCUCGGGCACCGUCGGGCUAUUCGAAUCCGAAGGAGAAAAGCACGGGACUGAGCACCUACGGCCUGAAGCUACUCGUGGCCUCAAAAGGACGAGCCGUUCACUGGAGAGCUACUGGCGAUGAGCUCCCGCAGCGGAUCUCGUCGGGCUCCGGUGAAAACAGAGCUAGAGGAAGGGAUCGAUGGGGGAAAAGUGAGGGAAAGCUACGCAAGCUCACGAGGAGUGCAGGGGUAGCGCUAGUUUGCUCGGGGGUGGCCUGUAGAGAGAGAACGCCGGCGACGAGCGUCGGUGGCUCCUGGUCGACUCACAGCUUCCUGGUGUCGGGCUCAUAGCUGGAGAGCUCCAGGAGGAUGUGGCGGAGCUAUUGCGUGACUCAAGAGGGAAGGGGGUAGGCUAGAACGACGGCGAGCUCGAGCUCUGCUCGGGCUCCAUGGCGGCAGUGGGGAAACGAAGUAGAGGGGGAGAAUGAGGAGGGAUUGGGCUCGGGCACGUCUGCGAGGAGGUUAUCCUCGCCUUGCCAGCGCACCGAGGCGUCCAGGUAGGCAGGGAGCUGCGUGGAGGCGCCAGACGUCGCGGCGGCCACCUCCUGCUGCCCACUGGCGAGGAGGAAGACGACACACGGGGGAGCUGGGCCUGGGCUAGGUGAGCGACACGUAAGCUUUUCUUCAUUUUUUUCCAUUUCAUUUUCUGGUUUGCUAACUAAUUUGAUUUUCUAUUUAUUUUAGCUCCAAAAUAGUUUAUAAAAAUAUUUUGAACACACCAGAAUAUUAGUUGGAAUAUUUCCAACCAUUCCUGAAGUUUUCAACAUUUUUGAAAACUUAAAAGUUUUUGAAUUCAAAUGUAAACUUGAAUUCAGUGGCUUUUUGUAUUUGAACAAAAUUCCAAAUCUGUUUUUAAAAUAGUUUUCUUCCCUGAUUAUUUGUUUUCAUGAAUUAUCAGAAAAGUUGAACUUUUCUUGAGGCCAUUUUGGGUUCGAUGAUUUUGACAAGUUUUUGAAUUUCCUUUAAAUUGAGAAGUGGCUAGGGUUUUUUUUUGGGUUUUGCUUCACCACUUUCUUUGAUCUUGUUGCAAUUUUCUUGGAUGCAAUGCAAAGAAGAUAUGAGCACAAUGCUAAACUUUGGUUAGGGUUCCAGGGAUGUGACAAGUAGACCCGGGGGCCAUAGUGUUCACUAGAGGCUUCUCUCAUGAUAGCAAGUAUUACGGUGGGUGAACGAAUUACUGUCGAGCAAUUGAUAGAACCGCGCAAAGUCAUGACGAUAUCUAAGGCAAUGAUCAUACAUAUAGGCAUCACGUCCGAGACAAGUAGACCGAUACUUUCUGCAUCUACUACUAUUACUCCACACAUCGACCGCUAUCCAGCAUGCAUCUAGUGUAUUAAGUUCAUGACAAACGGAGUAACGCCUUAAGAAAGAUGACAUGAUGUAGAGGGAUAAAUUCAUGCAAUAGAUAUAAACCCCAUCUUUUUACCCUUGAUGGCAACAACACGAUACGUGCCUUGCUACGCCUUCUGUCACUGGGUGAGGUCACCGCACGGUAUGAACCCGAAACCAAGCACUUCUCCCAUUGCAAGAAUUAUAGAUCAAGUUGGCCAAACGAAACCCACAACUCGAAGAGAAUUACAAGGAUAUGAAAUCAUGCAUAUAAGAGAUCAGAAGAAACUCAAAUAAGAUUCAUCGAUAAUCUGAUCAUAAAUCCACAAUUCAUCGGAUCUCGACAAACACACCGCAAAAGAGGAUUACAUCGGAUAGAUCUCCAUGAAGAUCAUGGAGAACUUUGUAUUGAAGAUCCCAGAGAGAGAGAGAAGAAUCCAUCUAGCUACUAGCUAUGGACCAGAAGGUCUAUGGUGAACUACUCACGCAUCAUCGGAGAGGCCAUGGUGUUGAUGGAGUAGCCCUCCAUGUCCAAAUCCCCCCUCCGGCAGGGCACUAGAACGUGCCCCAGAUGGGAUCUUGCGGAGACAGAAGCUUGCGGCGGCGGAAAAGUAUUUUCGUAGCUCCCUUCCGUGGUUUCAGAUUUUUCAGGGAUUUCUAGGCGGAAGAACUAGGGCAGGGGAACUAGAGGGGCCCCACAAGCCUGCUAGGCCCGCCCCCUAGGCCGGGCCUGGGUGGCUUAUGACCUCCUCCGAGGUCCCCUGCCUUAGUUCUCAAGUCUCCUGCGUGUCUUCUGUUAUGGAAAAAAUCAUUCCGCACGUCUUAUUCCGUUUGGACUCCGUUCAAUAUUCUCCUCUGAAAAAGGUCAAAAACACGAAAAAACAGGAACUCGCACUUGGCACUGAAUUAAUAGGUUAGUCCCAAAAAAGAUAUAAAAUAGCAUAUUCAUCCAUACAAAACAUCCAAAGAUGACAAGAUAAUAGCAUGGAACCAUCAAAAAUUAUAGAUAUGUUGGAGACGUAUCAAGCAUCCCCAAGCUUAACUCCUGCUCGUCCGCAAGUAGGGAAGUGAUAAAGACUGAAUUUUUGAUGUGGAAUGCUACCUAACUUAUUUGUCCUUUGUAACUUCUUUCAUGUGACAUGAAUGUUCAGAUCCGUAAGAUUCAAAACAAUAGUUUGCUAUUGACAUGAAAACAAUAAUACUUCAAGCAAACUAGCAAGGUAAUCAUGAACUUUCGAAAUAACAAGGGCAAAGAGAGUUAUACCUACAAAAUCAUAUAGUCUGGCUAUGCUCCAUCAUCCCCACACAAAGAAUUUAAAUCAUGCACAACCCCGGUAUUGGCCAAGUAAUUGUUUUCGCAUUCUUAAUUUCUCAAACUUUUUCAACUCUCACGCAAUACAUGAGCGUGAGCCAUGGAUAUAGUACUAUAGGUGGAAUAGAGUGUGGUGGAGGUUGUGAGGCAAAAAGGAGGAGAUGGUCACAUUGACUCGGCGUAUGAAAGGGCUAUGGAGAUGCCCAUCAAUAGAUAUCAAUGUGAAUGAGUAGGGAUUACCAUUUAACGGAUGCACGAGAGCUAUAAGUAUGUGAAAGCUCAAAAGAAGAACUAGUGGGUGUGCAUCCAACUUGCUUGCUCACGAAGACCUAGGGCAAUUUUGAGGAAGCCCAUCAUUGGAAUACACAAGCCAAGUUAUAUAAUGAAGAUUCCCACUAGUAUAUGGAAGUGUCAAAACAAGAGACUUUCUAUCAUUAAGAACAUGGUGCUAUUUCAAAGCACAAGUGUGGAAAAAGAUAAUAGCAUUGUCCCUUCUCUCUUUUCUCUCAUUUUUUUCAUUUUUUUUGUUUGAGCUCUUUGGCCUCUUUCCAUAUUUUUUUGUGGGCAACUUUGACCUUUUUUUUAUUUCCUCACAUGGGACAAUGCUCUAAUAGUGAUGAUCAUCACACUUUUAUUUACUCACAAUGCAACACUUAGAACAAUGAUGACUUUAUAGGAAAUGCCUCCGGCAGUGUACCGGGAUGUGCAACGAUCUAGCUUAGCAUAUGACGUUGAAACAUCUCUUUAGCUAUCUUACAAUCAUGCAAUGGCAAUAUGAAAGUUACGGCACAUGUCAUGAGACGGAACGAUGGGAGUUGCAUGGGAAUAUAUCUCAGAAUGGCUAUGAAAAUGCCAUCAUAGGUAGGUAUGGUGGCUGUUUUGAGGAAGGUACAUGGUGGCUUUGUGCACCGGCAAAAAUUGCACGGCACUAGAGAGGCUAGCAAUGGUGGAAGGUGAAAGUGCAUCUAUACCAUGGACUCACAUUAGUCAUGUAGAACUCAUAUACUUAUUGUGAAAGUUUUUAUUAGUAAUCGAAACAAAGUGCUAAACACAUACUCCUAGGGGAAGGAUUGGUAGGUGUUAACCAUCGCGCGAUCCCGACUGCAACACAAAGGAUGACAAUCAAUAAUCAAUUAUGCUCCGACUUCCUAACAUAGCGGUUCACCAUACGUGCAUGCUACGGGAAUCACUAACUUCAACACAAGUAUUUCUAGAUUCACGACACCCUACUAACAUAACUCUAAUAUUACCAAAUCCAUGUCUCAAAACUAACUGAGAGGAAUCAAACUUCUCUUUAUAAUCAAUGCACAUGAAUAUGGAAGUUUUUAUUACAUCCUCUUUGGAUGCCUAUCAUCUUUAGGACUACUUUCAUAGCACAAGCCAAUUACUCAGCUACUCAAAGAGAGCACUCUCAAAAAGAUAUAAGUGAAGAUCGAGAGUUCUUAUUUCUCCAAAAUAUGACACCACCAUGCUCUAAAAAGAUCUAAGUGAAGCACUUAGAGCAAAGUUAUCUAGCUCAAAAGAUAUAAGUGAAGCACAUGUGAGCUAAAUUGCCUAACUCAAAUGAUAUAAGCGAAGCUCAAUGAGUAUUCUAGCAAAUUCACGAUGUGUGCAUGUCUCUCUCGAAAGGUGUGCAGCAAGGAUGAUUGUGACACAACAAAAAGAAAAGACUCCUAUAAUACAUGACACUCCAAGAAAAACACAUAUCAUGUGGUGAAUAAAAAUAUAGCUCCAAGUAACGUUACCGAUGGAUUGAAGACGAAAGAGGGAAUGCCUUCCCGAGGCAUCCCCAAGCUUAGGCUUUUUGGUGUCCUUGAAUUUGGCUUGGGAUGCCUUGGGCAUCCCCAAGCUUGAGCUAUUUCCACUCUUUAUCCCAUUGUCCAUGAGAACAUCACCCAAAACUUGAAAACUUCACAACACAAAACUUAAAGAGAAACUCAUGAUAUCAUUAGCACAAGAAAACAAACUACCACCUCUUUAGGUACUGUAGCAAACUUGAUUUAUAUUUAUAUUGGUGUUAGAUUACUGUAUUCUCACUUUUCCAUGGCUAGUACCUCCCGAUACUAUCCAUAGUUUCAUCAAAAUAAGCAAUCAACACAACAAAAACAGAAUCUGUCAAAAAGAGACCAGUUUGUAGCAAUCUGUAUACUUCGUAUACUUCUAUUAUCUCAAGAAUUCUGAAAAAUUACGACAAUUUGGGAAAUUGGCAUAUCAACCAGCAGCAAAAAGAAUCAACUCAAAAUCUCUUUCUGGAUAAAAAUGAAAAAUAAGUUCGUCGGCGAAAACUUUCUGUCCUUUUCAGCAAGAUCAAACAACCAUCACCAAAACUGAUCAUAAAGGUUUUACUUGGCUCAAACACAAAAAGAAACACAAAAAAAAUCAUAACGUAAUUAUGAUGGUGUGGACACAACAAAACAGAAAGCAAAAAGCAAAGAUAAAUUCAUUGGGUUAUCUCCCAACAAACGCUAUUGUUUAACGCCCUUAGUUAGGCAUAGAUAAUUCAAUGAUGCUCACAUAAAAGACAAGAAUUGAAGCACAACGAGAGCAUCAUAAAGCAUGUGAAAAUCACAUCUAAGUCUAACAUACUUCCUAUGCAUAGACAUUUUAUAGGAAAACAGAUUGUCAAGACAACCAAUAAUUACCAUAUGCAAGGAAGAAGAAAGAGACAAUAUCUAUCUCAACAUAACGAGAGGUGAUUUCGUAACAUGAAAGUUUCUACCACAAUAUUUUCCUCUCUCAAAGCAAUUACAUGUGGGAUCAUAAUCAAAUUCAACAAUAUAUAUAUCACAAAGGAUAUUCUUUUCAUGAUCCACAUGCAUGCAAAAUUGACGCUCUUAAAAAAUAGUGGGAUUUUCAUCAACUAAAGUCAUGACUUCUCUAAACCCACUUUCAAUAUUAUUGCAAACAUCAUAAUCAUCAUGAGGGUUAAACAAAUUUUCAAGAUCAUAAGAAAAAUUAUCACCCCAAUCACGAUCAUUACAACAAGUAGUGGACAAAGAAAAACUAGCAUCCCCAAGCUUAGGGUUUUGCAUAUUUUUAGCAUGAUUGUCAUUAAUAGAAUUUAUAAUGAAAUCAUUGCAAUCAUGCUUUUCAUUCAAGGAACCAUCGUGAAUCACUUCAUAAAUUUCUUCAUCAUGAUUUUCAGAUUCACGCAUCUCAAGCAAAACUCCAUAGAGAAAGUCAAGUGCACUCAACUCACUAGCAAUUGGAUCAACAUAAUUGGAUCUCUUAAAGAGAUUAGCAAGUGGAUGAGGAUCCAUAUCAACAGAUUUUCAGCAAGCAAAGAUGCAAGCAUAUUUAAGGCACAUAGCACACAAGCAACGGAAAGGUAAACGAAAAAGGCAAAUAUUUUUGUAAUUUUUGUUUUUCAGAAGUGGGGGAGAGGAAAACGAGAGGCAAAAAAAGUAAAUGCAAGAGAUGAGUUUGCGACAGUUACUUGGAUAAGCUUCAGUUAAAAUAGUCCCAGUGCCAGAAAUUGACACUUUGGAGGAAGACUAUUCUUGACUUGAUACUCCCCGACAACGGCGCCGGAAAUUGGCAUGUUGACGGGAGACUAUUCUUGACUUGAUCCUCCUCCCCGGCAACGGCGCCAGAAAUUGGCACGUUGACGGGAGACUAUUCUUGACUUGAUCCCCCCCCGGCAACGGCACCAGAAAUUGGCACGUUGACGGGAGACUAUUCUUGACUUGAUCCUCCUCCCCGACAACGGCGCCAGAAAUUCUUCUUGCUAGCUCUUGAGCUUGCGUUGGUUUUCCCUUGAAGAGGAAAGGGUGAUGCAGCACAGUAGCAGUAAGUAUUUCCCUCAGUUUGAGAACCAAGGUAUCAAUCUAGUAGGAGUAUCAAGGCAAGUCUCCAAAGUACCUGAGCAAAAACAGCAAACUUGCACCCAACGCUACAAAGGGGUUGUCAAUCCCUUCACGACUGAUUGCAAGGUGAGAUCUGAAGGCGGAAAGUGCAACAAAGUAAAUGUGUAAGGCUGAAAAUAUAAUGUGAAGUAGACCCGAGGGCCAUAGUGUUCACUAGAGGCUUCUCUCAUGAUAGCAAGUAUUAUGGUGGGUGAACGAAUUACUGUCGAGCAAUUGAUAGAACCGGGCAAAGUCUUGACGAUAUCUAAGGCAAUGAUCAUACAUAUAGGAAUCACGUCCGAGACAAGUAGACCGAUACUUUCUGCAUCUACUACUAUUACUCCACACAUCGACCGCUAUCCAGCAUGCAUCUAGUGUAUUAAGUUCAUGACAAACGGAGUAACGCCUUAAGAAAGAUGACAUGAUGUAGAGGGAUAAAUUCAUGCAAUAGAUAUAAACCCCAUCUUUUUACCCUUGAUGGCAACAACACGAUACGUGCCUUGCUACGCCUUCUGUCACUGGGUGAGGUCACCGCACGGUAUGAACCCGAAACCAAGCACUUCUCCCAUUGCAAGAAUUAUAGAUCAAGUUGGCCAAACGAAACCCACAACUCGAAGAGAAUUACAAGGAUAUGAAAUCAUGCAUAUAAGAGAUCAGAAGAAACUCAAAUAAGAUUCAUAGAUAAUCGGAUCAUAAAUCCACAAUACAUCGGAUCUCGACAAACACACUGUAAAAUAGGAUUACAUCGGAUAGAUCGCCAUGAAGAUCAUGGAGAACUUUGUAUUGAAGAUCCAAGAGAGAGAAGAAGCCAUCUAGCUAUUAGCUAUGGACCCGAAGGUCUAUGGUGAACUAGUCACGCAUCAUCGGAGAGGCAAUGGUGUUGAUGGAGAAGCUUUCCGUGUCCAAAUCCCCCUCCGGUAGGGCACUAGAACGUGCCCAGAUGGGAUCUUGCGGAGACAGAAGCUUGCGGCGGCGGAAAAGUAUUUUCGUGGCUCCCUUUCGUGGUUUCAGAUUUUUCGGGGAUUUAUAGGCGUAAGAACUAGGGCAGGGGAGCCACGGGGGGGCCACAAGCCUGCUAGGCCCACCCCCCCUAGGCCGGGCCUCGGUGGCUUGUGACGUCCUCCGAGGUCCCGUGCCUUGGUUCUCAAGUCUCCUGCGUGUCUUGUGUUGUGGAAAAAAUCAUUCCGCAUGUUUUAUUCCAUUUGGACCCCGUUCAAUAUUCUCCUCUGAAAAAGGUCAAAAACACGGAAAAAACAGGAACUAGCACUUGGCACUAAGUUAAUAGGUUAGUUCCAAAUAAUAUAUAUAAUAGCAUAUUGAUGCAUACAAAACAUCCAAAGAUGACAAGAUAAUAGCAUUGAACCAUGUAGAUAGUUGGAGACGUAUCAGCUGCCUUGGGCAAGCCCUCAGAGCUGUGGGAACCUGGGUGAGAAGGUGUCCUCUUAGGACUUGUUCCUGAAUCCAUCUCAACAUUAUAUUCCCUGAAGUUAUUCUGGCUAUCCUCAGAAUCAGACAUCCUGGUAGUCAAAGUAGACAAGCAACCAACAGACCAACACAUAAGCAACCCGAUAAAAUAGAUAUAGAAGAGCAGAAGGGUUGAGCAUCACAAAACACAGAAGAGUUCUUCAAAAUUUGAAUUUAGAAAGUUAGAAUAUGAUCUUGUGCAGAAUAUAAAUUGGUAGUACGAGGUUGGUCAUUUCGGAGUCACCGAGAUCAAUCACUCGCAUAACAGACACUUGGCAGUCUUUUCGGUGUCACCGAAAAGAACUACUCGGUCUCACCGAAAUGUUUCUGACGAACCCUAAAACCAGGGCCGACUCUAGCCCUAGGCGAACAUGGGCGAUGCCCAAGGUGUUGGAAAUAUGCCCUAGAGGCAAUAAUGAAUUAGUUAUUAUUAUAUUUCUUUGUUCGUGAUAAUCGUUUAUUAUCCAUGCUAUAAUUGUAUUGAUUGGAAACUCAAAUACAUGUGUGUAUACAUAGACAAAACACUAUCCCUAGUAAGCCUCUAGUUGACUAGCUCGUUGAUCAAAGAUGGUCAAGGUUUCCAGACCAUAGACAAGUGUUGUCGCUUGAUAACGGGAUCACAUCAUUAGGAGAAUCAUGUGAUGGACUAUACCCAAACUAUGAAGAUAGCAUGUGAUCGUGUCAUUUUGUUGCUAUUGUUUUCUACGUGUCAAGUAUUCAUUCCUAUGAUCAUGAGAUCAUGUAACUCACUAACACCGCAGGAAUACCUUGUGUGUAUCAAACAUCACAACGUAACUGGGUGACUAUAAAGGUGCUCUACAGGUAUCUUUGAAGGUGUCCGUUGAGUUAGCAUGGAUCAAGACUGGGAUUUGUCACUCCGUGUGACGGAGAGGUAUCUCGGGGCCCACUCGGUAAUUAAACAUCACACACAAGCCUUGCAAGCAAUGUGACUCAAGUGUGAGUCACGGGAUCUUGUAUUACAGAACGAGUAAAGAGACUUGCCGAUAACGAGAUUGAAAUAGGUAUAGGGAUACCGACGAUCAAAUCUCGGGCAAGUAACAUACCGAAGGACAAAGGGAAUGAUAUACGGGAUUAUAUGAAUCCUUCGCAGAAAGAUUCAACUGAUAAGAUCUUCGUAAAAUAUGUAGGAUCCAAUAUGGGCAUCAAGGUCCGGCUAUUGCAUAUUGACCGAGAAGUGUCUCGGGUCAUGUCUACAUAGUUCUCGAACCCGCAGGGUCUGCACACUUAAGGUUCGAUGAUGUUUUAGUAUAGUUGGAUUAUAUGUGUUGGUGACCGAAGGUUGUUCGGAGUCCCAGAUGAUAUCACGGAUGUCACGAGGGUUUCUGGAAUGGUCCGGAAAUGAAUAUUGAUAUAUAGGAAGUUGGUGUUUCGAUUCCGGAAGGUUUUCGGGCAUUGCCGGCAGUGUACCGGGAGUGACGAAUGGGUUCCGUAUAUAUAGGUGGCUCUCUCUCAGAAAAAUGAAUUUGGCAAUGAAGUGUGUGUUUUGAGUGCUUCCUCUACGAAUGAGAGGUAGGUGGAGGGUUAUAUAUAGGCAACACCCAAAAUCCAACCGUUACACCUAAAGUGACAAACUCGGUGACACUGAAGUCAUAAACUCGGUGGUACCGACUUGCACAAAAGGGGCAACUUUUGAAUCUCGGUGAGACCGAUAUACACAACUCAGUGGAACCGAAAAGGUGGAUAACGGUCAGAUGAGCCAACUCGGUAUCACCGAUACUCAAACUUGGAAAUUCCGAUUUUGUGUACCGAGGCAACAGAAAGUUGGUCACCUAAACUCGGUAGCACCGAUGCAGAAUCGGUUGUACCAAAAUGGUAGGUUUGGCUAGGGUUCUGUUUGGGUUGAAAAUCGGUACGGCCGAAUCUGAAAACUUUGUGGCACCGAUUUUGGAUAUCUGGCUCUGGACAGAAAUGUUAUGUGGGAAAAUGAGUGAGUAUUUUUGGUGGCUAUCUCUGAGCACUUGAGCAGCCAAUUCAUUUUAAUACCUCGCCCCCUUUUAAUAGUAUUGGCUUUCGUAUGGACUCAAAAGUGAUUUCUCACAAAUAUAAAAUGAAGAGUCUUGUUGCUUGAAGCUUGAGCCAAUCUUAUUCCUUUCUUGCAUCCAGGUGCAUCUCCACAUAAGCUUUUAACCAAUGCAUCUUUUGAACUUUUCUGAAAUAUACUUGGAUAGAAUCAUUAGUCCAAUGAUGCAUAUGUUGUGAUCAAUUAUCAAAACCACCUUAGGGAGCAAUUAUGCUUUCACAUACUUUUCUUUAUAUAUAUAUAUAUAUAACUUUUCUUUAUAUUUAUACGUUAUAAAAAUGAAAUAAGGUUCAUGUUUCACCUUCCCUUCAUCCAACCUUUCUCUUCUUUCAUUUUAGUUUUUAUUCCUCCCAUCUCACAUCAUUCUCCCAAUGGGUUUCCCUAAAACCAACUCAAUUGGCCCAUGUCUAGACUAAAAUUAUAUUCCACGUCUUAUCAACAUAUCAAAAUAAAUGUCUAACAAUAAGUUGGCAAAGUAAAUCCCGAUGAUUGAGUACAAAAGCUUACUAAGAUUUAUUGAUCAAUGUAAUAACAAUGAGCUCAUUAUCUAGUAUUAUUUCAAUAAAAUGCCGAGGCAUGGUUUAUUUUGCUAUAACAUUGCUCUAUAUAGUAAACGUGUGUAUUUACAGAAAGUGCAAACGAACUAUAAUUUCUAAGAAAAAAAUAAAUGGGAUGCAUAGACGCUGCAUUAUUUUGUCAAACAACCGAGCGAAUGGACUCUAAAUUCUGAAAAAUGGGUUGAAUUCUUGUAACAUAUUCGGAGUCUGACAUGCAGGCCAACAAGUCAAAGCCUACGCAAGUCUUUGUAAACUUAGUCAACAAAUAAUUCUCGCAUCCAUGGCCGUUAGAUGUAAUCCAAUGGCCGACAUGCAUCUUCAAUCUCCCGAGUUCUUCCUCCUUACACGUAGGUCUGUAUGCUUCCUCCUCCGGCGGCUAUUGGCGCUAUUUCGAACGCCUCGCUGUGAAAGCGCUACCCAACCAGAGGCCAUGUCGUCCCUUCACCUUUCCACACCUCAUGUUAUUCUUUGCCGAGAGCAGCCCCACGUCGCAACUAAACAGGUCAACCCUCAUACUCCUCUCCGUCUACGACUCCACUACUGCGUCUUCCCAAUCUCCAGGUUGUUCAUGUUCAGUCCCUCCCUGUCUUCCACCACCUUGAUGGCUUGAUGCGCUCGACGUGGCAUGGUCAACGUGGUUAACAGACGAGAAUCAUCGGAAUAGGAUUGUACGUGGAGAGGCUGAUAGUGGAUGCCCACCAGGUCUAUGGUCGCGCGCAUGCAACUCCCUCCUUAUUACGUAAAAAAAGAUCCCCAGUGACAGCUGGGACCCAUUAGGUUGAAGCAUACUAUUACUUGUGCGGCCCCAAUUAUACAUAUAGCAAAAAAGCACGUGCGUUGCAACGGAAGAGAAAAUAACACAUGCUUUGAACGUAAUAUAUUUUCACAAGACAUCACAUUUGUGUUAUCGACGAUGGCCUGAGUGCUCACACAACGAAAACGAGUUUGAAUGUACAAUCACUCGGAAUAAGAUGAGAAAUUUGUUGUUUGUCCCCACGAGAUUUUCCAAAGGUGUGCAUGUGUGGUUAAGAUGUUUCCUUUCCUCUCAAUUUGGUUUUAAUUUAAUGGAUAUUUAUUGCAAUUCCUAUGGUCGUCGGAAAGAGAGAAAAAAAGACCGUGCACUACAGAUUAAGUAUGCACCAAAAAUAAUAUUUAAAAAGUAUUCAACAGCUAAAAAUAACAUCCUAUUUAGAUUCUACACAUUUUUUCAAUCAAAUUUCAUAUAUAACAUGUUAAAAUCGGAGUUACGAUUUAAAAGAUAUGGAUAAUUUUGUUUUAGAUAAAAUAUGGAUUGAUUAACUGAAAAGUCAGUUUUUUUUUUGUUAAAACAAAAAAACGUUUCGGCUGACUUAAAUAGGGACGGCGGGUUGAUUACCUGAAACAUCGGGAAGUUUUCUGUAAAAUGCAAAAAAAGGUUCGGUUCUGACUAAAAGAUGGACUGCGGGUUGAUUAUCUAAAACUGUGAGGACUUUUCUGCAAAACGAUAGAAAACGGUUCGUUCUGACUUAAAGUUGAACUGCGGGUUAAUUAACUGAAACUGCGAGGGCUUUUCUGCAAAAUGACCGACGACGGACGACAGAAGCAUUACGCGCUUUAUUAUUAGGGGAGAUUGCUUUGUGUCCAACGAUGGACCACGGUGGAGUAAAUCGUGUCUAGGUUAUAAAGUCCCGUCUAAAUCUUGUACACGCACGGACAACCAUGCUGCAAAAAAUACGGGCACAUACGUACAUAUGAUACGUCUCCGUCGUAUCUAUAUUUUUUGAUUAUUUUAUGUCAAUAUUCUAUAAUUUUCAUAUACUUUUGGCAACAUUUUACAUUAUAUUUGGGACUAACUUAGUUAUUCAGUGUUCAAUGUGAGUUCCUAUUUUUUGUGUGUUUUUUGUUUUGGAGAAAAGACAUAACGUACAAAGUCCAAAUGCGAUAAAAUUUACGUAUAUUAUUUUGGAAUACAUGUGAAUUUUGGGAAGAAGAAUUAAUGCAACAUGGUGACGGAUGGACCCACAAGCCAACAGGGCGCAACUAGGGGGUGGCCGCGCCCUCAUAGCUUGUGGCCACCCCUUAAGUUAGUUUGGACCCUACUUUUGCCGUAAGAAAGAUAAUUUUCUGAUAAGAAACCCCUCAAAAUUUCAGCCCAAUCAGAGUUACGAAUCUCAAUAUAAUUAAGAAACGGUAAAGGGGUUAGAAAAUUGUCGCAAAAAAAGAAGAGAGACAGAGAGAGAUCCGAUCUCACACGGGCUNNNNNNNNNNNNNNNNNNNNNNNNNNNNNNNNNNNNNNNNNNNNNNNNNNNNNNNNNNNNNNNNNNNGGAGCCGUGGAAGCUAUGGACUAGAGGGGAAGCUCUCCUCCCAUCUAGGGUGAAGACCAAGGAACAAGAAGAAGAAGGAGGGGGAAUCUCCCCCCUCUCUCCUUGAGGCGCCGGAGCACCGUCGAGGCAACCAUCAUGACGGUGAUCUACACCAACAACUUCGCCGCCAUCACCACCAACUCCCCCCUCUAUGAAGACAUGUAAAACCUAUCUUCCCCGCUGUACUGUCUACUUAAACAUGGUACUUAAUGCCAUAUAUUAUUAUACAAUGAUGUGUGGCUAUCCUAUAAUAUUUGAGUAGAUUUCUUUUGUCCUAUGGGUUGAUUGAUGAUCGUGAUAUGUUUGAGUAUAUUUUUUAUUUUGGUGAUGUCCCAUGGUGCCUUCCGUGUUGCACACAUGUGGAGGAUUUCCUCUAUAGCAUUUUGCAAUAUGUUCAAGAUUAGCUUAUAGUGGGUUGCAUGAGUGACUAAAACACAAACACGAGUAAGGGGGGUUGUUUGUUUAUGGGAGUAAAGAGGACUUGAUGUUGAAUUAUAUGGUUGAGUUUACCUUAAUAAUUUCUAGUAGUUGCAGAUGCUUGCUAGAGGUCCAGUCAUAAGUUCAUGCGAUCCAAGUACAGAAAUGAUCUUAGCGUAUGCCUCUCCCUCAUACUCCCUCCGUCCCAAAAUAAUGUUCGAAUUAUGCCGUAGAGGCAAUGAUAAAUAAGUUAUUAUUAUAAUUCCUGUAUCAAGAUAAUCGUUUAUUAUCCAUGCUAUAAUUGUAUUGAAUGAAGACUUAGAUACAUGUGUGGAUACAUAGACAAAACACUGUCCCUAGCAAGCCUCUAGUUGGCUAGCCAGUUGAUCAAGGAUAGUCACGGUCUUCUGACUAUGUACAAGGUGUUGUUGCUUGAUAACUGGAUCACGUCAUUGGGAGAAUCAUGUGAUGGGCUAGACCCAAACUAAUAGACGUAGCAUGUUGAUCGUGUCAUUUUGUUGCUACUUUUUCUGCGUGUCAAGUAUUUAUUCCUAUGACCAUGAGAUCAUAUAACUCACUGACACCGGAGGAAUGCUUUGUGUGUAUCAAACGUCGCAACGUAACUGGGUGACUAUAAAGAUGCUCUACAGGUAUCUCCGAAGGUGUUCGUUGAGUUAGUAUGGAUCGAGACUGGGAUUUGUCACUCCGUGUGACGGAGAGGUAUCUCGGGGCCCACUCGGUAAUACAACAUCACACACAAGCCUUGCAAGCAAUGUGACUUAGUGUAAGUUGCGGGAUCUUGUAUUACGGAACGAGUAAAGAGACUUGCGGGUAAACGAGAUUGAAAUAGGUAUGCGGAUACUGACGAUCGAAUCUCGGGCAAGUAACAUACCGAAGGACAAAGGGAAUGACAUACGGGAUUAUAUGAAUCCUUGACACUGAGGUUCAAACGAUAAGAUCUUCGUAGAAUAUGUAGCAUCCAAUAUGGGCAUCCAGGUCCCGCUAUUGGAUAUUGACCGAGGAGUCACUCGGGUCAUUUCUACAUAGUUCGCGAACCCGCAGGGUCUGCACACUUAAGGUUCGACGUUGUUUUAUGCGUAUUUGAGUUAUAUGGUUGGUUACCGAAUGUUGUUCGGAGUCCCGGAUGAGAUCACGGAC